rnacentral:lncRNA from 1 species
GGCAUGGGUGGUUGGGCCGGCCUCCUCAGGUUUCACUUUUCAUUUAAAGUCCAACAAAGAUAAUAAAAAAUGUGAUAUUUUUAAGAAAAGUAAAUUGCACAAAAACACAUACACAGAGUCUUCCGUGACAAGAAACCACGAACCUAAAGUCUUUUAACUGAUACCUACGACAUGAAGACUAAUGAAUAAAAAAAAACCCGAAGUACCCAGUUUGCCCAAGUCAAUCGUGGCUCACAUGUCAUGCACAGGAGCCAAUUAUGUUGGAUGUGGCUCUCUCUGUGCCCAGAUCGAGCCGGCUCGAGAUGGGAGCUUGCAUUAUCUCUUUCAUCGGAUCAACUUGUCUUCCUCCGCACCGGCGGAUCAAAAUCGCAGCUGGCCGCGAGCACCGGCGACCUCACUGCCACUGCGUCGGAGCAGACGAUUCACCGCUCCUGCUCCUGCCACCAGGCUCGUACAGGGAUAGAUCCUCUGCGGAUUUGGAGGAGCCGGAGGCGAGGACGCGGAGGGCAUUGGGGCGGAACUGCGAGGAGAUUCGGCAUACGAGGCGGCCAGCGAGGCCUCUGCCGUCCGUAUCCGUCGACGGCUGGUCAACGCCGCACCUCCGUCACUCCGCGCUCCGGCGAGAUCUCCAUGGUCGCCGCCCCCCUGGUCGAGGCCCGUCGCCGCCGCAAGUCCGCGCUCGUCGAGGCCCGCCACGGGCACCACUCCGGCGAGAUCUCUUCUACUGGCUACCUCCUCGCCGCGCUCAGCUCCUCCUUUCUUCAACUUCCUUGGUGUUGGCCGGAGGUGGUACUCCAAGAGCGUCAGCCAUCAGACACGAGAGAGAGAGAGAGAGAGAGGGAGAUCUGCCUGUAGCUUCGAUGGUGCAGCAGCGUUGCGCCGGCCGCGGGCUUGAGCGCCGGCCGGCCGGCCGGCUGGCCGCAUGCUUGAACCAAAGAUGAUCCCAGAGAGAAAGACAGUGAGCAGCUGGGAAUGGAUAACACAAGCUGAUGGCUGCACUGGAGCCGGCUCGAGCGGCCGGAAUGAGCUGGAGCCAAAGAACUGGCUCCUGUGUAUGACAUGUGGGCCACAAAGGUUAACUAGCGCUAACCGGACAAUUUCGUUGUUAUUCAUUAGUCUUUAUGUUGUGGGUAUCAAUUAAAAAAACACCGAGUUCAUGGUUUUUUGUUACAAGAGCCGCUACGUAUAGGUUUUUUUGCAAUUUACUCUUUUGAAAAAUAGGCACGCAUAAUCAUUUAUCCAAAAUUGAAUAAUUUAAGAGAAAAUACCACAAGAGGUCCGUAAACUUGGCAAGUGGGAACAGCUAAGCCCAUAAAUUCUAAAUCAUACGAUUUGACAUACUAAACUUGCAAGCAGGAACACUUUUGAAAACUUGCAAUCCAAAUCACGUUUUAGAACAGAAAUGUGCCAUGUGGUGGCUAAAAUGGAUAUUACCAAAGUUUUGCAGUGAAUUUUCUACCAGACUUGCAUCUCUUUAAUUUUCCAAAUAAUCCCUGAAUCUUUUUCAAUCUUUCCGGCUUGUCACAUGUGAGUCCAGGAGUUCUGACCAGAAAUGAAUUGUAAAGAAAAUCUUGGCAAGUUUUUUCCUUGUCGUCUAAUGAGCUUGCUAGUGAGGGAUUUGAAAAACAACAGGAAUUCCAAUAACUCGAAUGGAGAAAUAAAGACGAAAUGAGGCUUGGACCGCAAGAAAAAAAGAGGGAGGCUUGGAAUAUUUCACAAUGUCAGCUGCCACAUGACAUGUUUGAGUUCUAACAUAUGAUUUGGUCUGAAAGUGUUCUCGUCUGUCAAGUUUAGGAUUAAAAUGCAUGAUAUACAAGUUUAUGGACUAAAUUGUUCUCAUCUAUCAAGUUUAUGGAUCUCUGAUGCCAUUUCCUCUUAACUUUUAUAUUUUUAACAUCAAAAGAGUUUUUUUUAGCCUUGGCCAGGUUAUGCCUCGGCUUGAGGUUUCGGUUUCACUGACGGUCUUUACGAAGCCCGAUCGCGAGUAGUGGCUCAGAAAUAAGAUAAGCUGGUCCAUUUACUCAUUUGCGCUCAAGUAUUCGUUCAUGGUCAAGAUUCGAUGAAAUAAUAUAUGACGAUCGCUGUGUUUUUCAUAGAUUGCAAGCGGCAUGUAAACAUUUAGUUGGUCUCAUCCGUAAGAUAUUAGUCGGUCUCACUUGUCAACAUUUUAUCGGUUUCACCUGUCGAGAAGUUAAAUGGACAAACUAUGACGAAAACGCCUUGUGUGUAGACUAAGGACAAACUGAGCAACGGCCAACGUUACAACAAAAUACUCGUAUGGAAUAAACCCAAUUAUCAAAGACCGAUGAACUUGGGUUAUAUGAUAAGGAAUUAAGAAUCCACACCUAAUUGAUGGACCAAAUCUAACCUCACCGACAACCCUGCCAACGGUUAACACAGAUAUCUGUUCCAGUUCCGACUGACAAUUGGGCCCCACCGGAUCACGUGGUCCCACCCGUCCGUCUCCAGCACCUCGCCACAGCUCAGAUCCGCGGCGCACUACCCACCCACUCCAGUGUCUCCCCUCCUCACUCGCCCACCCCGAUGGCCGGCGGCCGCCCGUUCAGGCCAUCGGCGCCGCGCCGCGCCGCGUUCGCUGCUCUACUGACGCUCCUCCUCCUGGCAACCCUUUCAUUCCUCCUCUCCUCCGCGCCCGCCGCCUCCACCCGCUCCUCGCCCUCCCCUCCGUCGUCCCGCCUCGCCGCCAUCCGCCGCCACGCCGCGGACCACGCGGCCGUCCUCGCCGCCUACGCCGCCCACGCGCGGAAGCUCAAGGAGGCGUCCGCCGCGCAGUCGGUCUCCUUCUCCGCCCUCUCCUCCGACCUCUCCGCCCUCUCCUCCCGCCUCGCCUCCCGCCACUCCCUCCCGGAGGACGCGCUCAAGCCCCUCGAGAAGGAGGCGCGCGACCGCAUCAAGGUCGCCCGCCUCCUCGCCGCCGACUCCAAGGAGAGCUUCGACACGCAGUCCAAGAUCCAGAAGCUCUCUGACACCGUCUUCGCCGUCGGCGAGCAGCUCGCGCGCUCCCGCCGCGCCGGCCGCAUGUCCUCCCGCAUCGCCGCUGGCUCCACUCCCAAGUCCCUGCAUUGCCUCGCCAUGCGCCUCCUCGAGGCCCGCCUCGCCAAACCAUCCGCCUUCGCCGACGAUCCUGACCCAUCCCCCGAGUUCGAAGACCCCUCGCUGUACCACUACGCCGUCUUCUCCGACAAUGUUUUAGCCGUCUCUGUCGUAAUUGCCUCCGCGACGCGCGCCGCCGCUGAUCCCUCGCGCCACGUCUUCCAUGUGGUCACUGCGCCCAUGUACCUGCCUGCCUUCCGUGUCUGGUUCGCGCGACGCCCGCCUCCACUUGGCGUGCACGUCCAGCUUCUCGCCUACUCUGACUUCCCGUUCCUUAAUGCGUCCUUCUCCCCGGUCCUCAGGCAGAUCGAGACCGGCCAGAGGGACGUGGCAUUGGUUGAUUACCUGAGAUUUUACCUCCCGGAUAUGUUCCCCGCCCUGACGAGGGUAGUGCUCUUGGAAGAUGAUGUGGUCGUCCAAAAGGACUUAGCAGCGCUAUGGCAUGUAGACUUGGAUGGGAAGGUGAAUGGUGCUGUGGAGAUGUGCUUCGGGGGGUUCAGGAGGUACAGGAAGUAUCUCAACUUCUCGCAGGCCAUUGUGCGAGAGCGGUUUAAUCCCAGCGCGUGUGCAUGGGAGUAUGGGGUCAAUGUAUUUGAUCUUGAGGCAUGGCGACGGGAUGGUUGCACGGAGCUGUUCCAUCAAUACAUGGAGCUGGUGAGUUCCGUUGAUCUUCUGUUACAAUUUUCAGGAAAUAGUUUUGUGGUCCAUUGUUUUGAUGUGUGGUUCCGCCAGUUAUUCAUGCUUGGUGUCUGAUAUAGUUAUAUUGUUGUGUCUUGGUUAGUGCAUAUUUUAAUUUUGCAGUUUCAGUAGCUUGGGUGCAAGUCCAGCUGUGCAAGUAUACUUAAGUUUCUUUGUCACUGGCAUUAUUCUAAUCAUGUGAUUUAGGAACCUUCAUUUUGCCUUUACUCAUUGCUUCGAAACUCUCUCAUACUUGAAACGUAAAACAAAAAUGUUGCCCAGAAAAUUUCCUAACUGAAACUUGGUUGUCAUGCAAUUGAUUAUGUUUUGACUGAUCCCUAAGCAUUUAUGUUUAAUGGCCAACUCAGCAAUCACUAUGUUAAUGGAACCUUUAUCUGCAAUUUAUGUUUGCAUGCUAUUCUGUCAAACAAUAUAUUCUGCAGUGCCCUGUCCUAUGUAAUAUCUGUUAUCAAUUUUGCGUCAUGAUAUGCAAUUUUGUGAUAUAUGUGUGAGUAUAUGAACCAAUAUUCUUUUGGCAGAAUGAGGAUGGGGCACUCUGGGAUCCAACAUCCGUUCUACCUGCUGGCCUGAUGGCAUUCUAUGGCAAUACAAAGCCACUUGACAAGUCAUGGCAUGUGAUGGGUCUUGGAUAUAAUCCAAGCAUCAGCCCUGAGGUGAUCCGUGGUGCUGCAGUGAUACAUUUUAAUGGGAAUAUGAAGCCGUGGCUUGAUGUCGCUUUCAAUCAGUACAAGGCUCUGUGGACCAAGCAUGUUGACACCGAAAUGGAAUUUCUUACGCUAUGCAACUUUGGUCUCUGAAGUAAUUAAGAAAUGCUCCAAGAAUAAGGCAGCCACCAUAUUGUUCUUUUUAUGGCGAAAUAGCCUAUACUAGUAUUAUCUCUGUUAUCUGUAGUGAAGUUUCAUACCUUUGUGGUGGUCAACAACGUUCUUGUAGAUUUUUAGCCUGUUUGCUGAUAGUAUUUAUUUUGUUAGCUAAGAUGUACUGGAUCAUUGUGGCAUAGUUGAAGGAAAUUAUAGAUGAACAUUUGUGUACUAUCUGUAGCAAACAUAUCUCCAACUGUAUUUAUUAAUUGGAAGGAAAAGUUGUAUCCAGGUUGCCAUUUUAUUCUUUUAUAUUUGCCAUUUUGGUUCACUAAUAGUUACUGACAAUAUCAUUGAUUGUUUUAAGUAUGAUAUUGCCAUGUUGGUUAGCAGAACUGCAUAGAUGGGCAAGAACUUCAUUUGCAGAUUGUUUUAAAGUACUGCAUGGGAACAAAGCUUCUACCUGGCUUUUUUCACCUACUAUCUAGAACCCCAGGUUUGUUAACUAGUUCCUCCAUACAGGAUAAUGAAUGUAUAUUUUGUUUCGAUUUAAUUUAGGCCUUUAGUGUGGAUGCUUGCUUUUCUUCCAGGCAUUUGGUUAUCUUCUACUGGAACAAUUAAAUAGUUUGGUGUUUAUUACCCAGUGUAUAAUAUGUAUCCAAUACCACAUAUAGGUAAUAUCCACAUAGUUUGUUGAAUUGCAAUCAAAUUUGCGUCGUUGACCUCUUAGAAAAUUUGAAGGUAUAAUGUAGAUAACAUUGUCAUGCUUGCUCAUGCUUGGUAUAGCAUGCUUUUGCAGUUAUCUAUCUUGACCUAAGCAAGUUUCUGGUUCUACUAGAUACCUGUUAGUAGAUUGAAUUUUAUUUACUGCAAGUCUGAUAUAUUUUCGUCCCUUCUCAUCCUGUUUUAAGAUCUGGCAAUCGCUGAUUCCUCCCAUAUUUCUCUCCCUUUAUAUGCGACAGUUUGAUAGGUCCUGAGGGUAUGGAUUUCAUUAUUCCAAGAAUGUCCUGAACUUGAGAAUCUCGGUGUUCAGGGUAAAUAUGAGUUAUCAACUUAUCACACCAAGUGAAACAUGGAUAACUUAACAACAUUUACAGAUUCAGUGCGAAGAAUUGUCGAUAGUUGUUCCUGCUCUCUUGAUGCCUUGCUGGGACUAUCUUUUGAGGCAGUUUCAUAUAUAAAUUCUUCUCUGAUAUUCAUCUGGCAUUAUAUCCUGUUGUAUUGGCUGUGCUUAUAUCAUUGCUCUUACUAUGGUUGUAAUUAACUUGUAUUUUUGGUUGGAGUUAUCAGCAUUUUUGCACCAAUUCAGGUGCAUGCUCAACUACUUGUCUACUGGCUGCUGCAUAAACUCAACUCAAUGCUUUUGCUACUGGUUUUGACAAUACCAUCCAUUCGCACAAUAAGAAUUGCUGGACACUUCAUACAACAGGUUCUGGUAUUUUAUCGUAUUGAUAGUACUAUUAGUUGGAUGGUACUUGGCGUAAUAUUAUUUUAGCUUAGUUAUGCCUAGCUGCCAUAAACUAUUUAAGUUGCUAGUUUCUUCUCUCCCACCUAGAUUUUCAUUUGUCCUUCGCUUUUUACAUUGAGGAGACUGGUAAGUUCCAAAAACUCUCUUUCGUACACACUUUUAUUUUCUCUGAUGAAGCUAAACAUCCAACCUUUUAUGAUGGUUCGAGAGGUAGGUAAGUAGGUAAGUGGAUGGCCUGUUUUCUUGCCAAUUAUACAUAACUCUGUGUUCCCAGCAACUUACUGAGGUCCGUUUUUCAGUGACUUUGCAAUGUGGAGAAUACGGCGUGCCAUCCUCUGUUUUUGAGUAACUUUGCAUUGGUUUUCAAAGUCGUGGAACAAUCUGUACUGUACCCUUGUAUGUAGAAUGGGUACCCUUGUGUGUGGAAUGCGCACCACUUGUAUGUAUUGGAUUGUUGCAGGAAGUAAUUCUUUCUUUUCGAGCAUUUACACUGAUACCGUUACUUGCAGGUUUUCUAACCAGUUCUGCUGCCCUUUCCAGGAAACUGCUAUUUCCACCGCUCUCGGCCUUAAGCCCGAAGGUAUGGCCUUCCUGACUUGACACAAUACCGGUUAUAGGAAUUCUGUUACUCCUUCUAGUUCAUAUUACUUGUCGUAGUUUUGUUUAGAUACGCAUGUACCUACACAAUAAAAUGCGAUAAGUAUCUAGACAAAGCCGCGACUGUCGUGGAGCACAUACCCACGUCAGCGACAAGUAAUAUGGAUCGGAGUGAGAUUUGUGAUAUGAACUGUUCUUAGUAAGGCCCAGGUCGCCAGUGUUGAGAAACUAAUGCCUUUUUUCUUUUCUUUUCUUUUUUUGCGGACAGAAACUAAUGGCUUUCACUGUAAAAGUCACGUCAUAAUUUGAAAUUGUUGACAGAAACAGGCUGUUGUCAAAGCAAGGCGGCCCAACUAUCUUCAUGAAGAGUUGAAGACCGACCUGUGGGCCAGGCCAAUGGUAGAAGUGAAAACUACUUUAUCUCUGCCUGAAGAAAGAAACGGAUUUGCUCGACGAAUCAGCAAGAUGCUGGAGUAUAUGGUCCGGCCGGUCUUCUGACUAGGGAACUACUGUCAAAACGGAUGUCCCUAUCGCACGCUGGCCGUGGUUGAUACUUUGCCGGCCUCCGAUCCGACCGCGACGACGUCCCGUGAUAGCAACAGCGAUGAAUCCAUUUCAGCUUGUCACGGGCAUGCGUGCGUUUGUAAGAUUUGGCGCAACUAGCCCGCGAUCUUUCCCUUCUUUUUCUGUGAGGAAGGGAUUUGCCGCUGAUUAUAUUAAGAAAUCGGGUUUGUACGGAUUAAAAGCAAUCCCCGGUCGUUUACUAGGUGUUACCUCCGGGACGUUAAUUGAGAUUGCUUUUCUACCGUAUGGCAUGGUGCUGCUUAAUUAUCAGAAUCAUUCGUGGUUCUUUUCCCUGAAGUGAUUAAACCAUUUCUUCUUCUUUUUCGAGAAAGAAACCUUGGUCUCUGCAUUAAUCGAUGCACAUAGGUUAUUAAAUCACUCACUUAUAUUAGUUUUUUGUGUUUUUCUAAUCAAUCAUGAUCGUUUCACACUCCAUGCGGCAAAGAGAUGAACGCGCGUGAGGCUCUAGUUCAGGAUGAGCCAGUGGCGGAGCCAGCCUAGUUCAACAGCCUGGGCAAAACCUUUAUAAAUUAGCAUUUGGCUAAUAUCUAAUAAGCCUUCACAUAACUACACUAAUUAGCAGUAAAAAAAUUGCCGAGCCCGGGCAGCUGCCCGGGGUGGCUGGGCGGUGGCUCCGCCGGUGGGAUGAGCAAGCGCCCUCCGGCCAUGCCAAUCGAGUCUGCAAUGCCACCGACUAUAAGAAAAACUCACAGACACCGGCUACCUUGCCCCUUACCUAUCGCGGUCCUUUAUCUUCCCCUACUACUGCCAUGGCGUACUUACGAGAUUCGUUCCAGUGCAGCAACUCCAUCUUUCACUUCGACGAGAAGUGUGAGGCUGGCGAAAGUCUGUUUCCUCCUAACUCGAUGACUCGGUGAGAUUUUGGCCUCCCGAGUCAGAGAACGAUGUCCGCUACGAGGCCAAUGAGGCAGAGGACGGUGACGAGAUGGAGGACGACGAAGAAGAAUCCUCGUCAUUUUGCAGCAGGCUCGUUUCCCCAACCAUCAGUGGAGCGGAUUUUGUGCCCGUCAGUAAAAUGGAUUUUUUCUAGGUAGUGAGUAUGCUCAUCGCUUGCAUGGUGGCGUUGUGAGGAACGACAUGGGUGCGAGAGGGGGGAGCUUUGGUAUAUCGAAUCAGAGCUGCUUCGUUCCACCUUUCCAUCUUGCGACCUAAGUCACAUGGAAAUGACCAGAGGUGGUGGAGAGAAAGCUUUGUCCAAAAUUGUUGAUUCUGAAUAGAUCUGACUGUACUCAAUGAUUUUUGUGAGCUCCACCAUGUCACCUUGGCAGUUAGAGCCAGCACCAUCUUCUUUUGGUCCACAUGCGUUGAAGAUUUUGUAAUUCAUAUAUUUGGAUCUAUUGCAUGGAAACAAAACUCGUAUUGGAUGGGAAUAUUGCAAACAAUUGUCAAACAGAAGUUAAGGUUUGAGAACAUAUAUUGUCAUGUUUGGUAUUGGCAAUAUUUAUGCCCAGGCAGUUUAUGUCAAAGGGAUCAACUUUGGUUACACUUGAGACAGGAAUUUAGACAAGUUUAGGCCCUAGGGAUCGAUGUAAUAUCCUACUCCUAUGUUUGGUGGUGUUAUUGAUCCUGCCUCAAAGUUCUCAAGCGAUCAACACAACAGAACUAAUCUUUCUAGCUGGUCGCUUUGAUCUGUCUGUGUAAGGGUUACUUGUUGUAUCCUGUUCUCUACGGGUUUUUCCCCCUUGUUCCCGCUUAUAUAGUACGACCGGUUUAGGGUUACAUGUCUCCACUUGGUUAUAAGGAAAGAUUUCCCUAUGCGAAAAGAUGAGUGUGUACCUAAAAUAUCAGAGAGCUUACUUGGUAGCUGCUCCAAGCUAGCUAAUACGGGACCCCCCGUGUGGAGGUCGGAUACCUUCCCGAAUGUUCCCCUAUCCUCUGUUUGUUUGGGGCUACUUAGCCAUGCCCAGAGUCCAAUGACAUCGUCACAUAUGUAAUCAAUAUAUUGAAAACAAAUUAUCAUACUUUAAAAGGAUAAUUCUAUUGUGUUUGAAACAAAUUUGGUCAUAUAAAAAACAAUUUUGUUUUUGGAGGACCAAAUGCUGCCCAUCGGAAUUCUCUAUUGGAUAUAAAAUUAAAUGUUCUUAUGUCGGGGGACAUGGACCAUGACAUUGGACACAACUGUUACAUCAAAACAAAUAGUUGCACCUGAAGAAAAUUUUAGCAGCAUUGCAAAUAAUAUUCAAUCAUGUAGAAAGAAAAGGUUAAUCGAUUGCGUCUACCACAUAUCCAACUGACGUGGAGUAGGCGGAUCGGGUAUCGGGAUGCAUGGGUUAAAUCUAGUCUCCGCUUUCUCUUUGCGCGCAACCGAGGCCAUGGGUCAGGAUUGUAAUAUACUAACUCAUUGUCACAAAAAAUGGCGUCCAGCCAUUUUGCGUUUUAACUCUGACCAACAAUUACACGAAAGAUAUGUACGAGGACAUGCUACAAAACAAUUAUAUCAUUGCACUCAUGCUCAAAGAAAAAAAAUCUGAUGACAUAAAAACAUAAUAUAGAAUCUAAAUAUUAACUGCUACUAACUGAUGGUUAAAAUUGAACUUCAACUUGAAGUCUUGAAGAAUGCGCGAGUGUCAACAACAACAAAAAUUCAUAAAAAGAGAUAGUACAUGCUAAUUUUCCAUUUCUGUACUUACCAAAUUGUAGUUCAUGCACCAUUUAACUGCCGGCAAAUAUUGUAUCUCCAGCAAAAGUCCAAUAGCCAAUGCAGAUUGCCUGCCGGCAAAACUUUUUGCCGUCAGCAAUAAAGCGGCCAGCCUCAACUGCCGGCAAAAAACUCUUCUUGGCAGGUUAGCUGCCGGCUUAAGUGACUUUUGCUGGUAGUUUGACUGUCUUGACGUCUGGGACGUCGUGUAGUGUGAGCAAGCAAACGAUACUCUUACUUAGUUGCCACUCUUUACGUUUCAUAAUUCUUAUCGUUGUUUUAGGUCACCACGAGAAGAAAAAAAAGAGAGAGGCAUGACAGGUUUUCGGUCGUGUGUGCGUUUACCAAUUUAUUGAUCAAUUCUUUUUGCGUUCAUGUGAUUAAUCUUUGACAAACCCAACGUAGAGGAAGUAGUAAUUAACUUAUUCUAACUAAAUCUGCUAUGUCACUGUCUCCUGGUACGGUAGGCCUAAUCUACACCCCCCGUCACUAAACAUCAAAACGGCGUGGACCACACCCAAAUCUAAUAAAAAAUGAUUAGAGUCUUCCAAUCCAAUUACUCCACAUCAAUUAGGAAUAUUAAUAAGCACGACACACUACCGGUGGGAACAACAGUCUACGUACUAGCAGUCUAGCAGUAGACCAAAAGGGCAAAAGCAGUCAGUCUACGUACACAUGCAUGACUGUCGGAUGGCCAGCAGCUUUGAGAAAUGAUUCUUUUCUUCAUCAAAAGAAAAAAAUGAUCCGUUUCAGACACAACCAAAAACGCACUAAAAUCCAUGGCACUUUUCUCGAUCAUGAAGAAAAAAUUGCCAAGUAACAAUUAGAAUUAGAGCGUCCAUUUCGAUCGACGACGUCAUCUAACGGCUCGAGAUGGAAUCACCGGUGCAUCAGACGCUAAUCAUAGCCGUGCACUACUCCAUGGCUUUGGAUCGGGGGUGCAGAAGGAGCGCAGGCGGCAGAGCUGCAGAGAGGAUGAAAGUCGAAGCGCAAAACAGGUCUUUCUGGAAAAGCAGCCGCGGCGCGGCAGUAGAGGCAAAGGAAAAGAAAUGCAGUAGUAUCGCGCGCGUGCACUUGGUCCGGAAAGGAGCUAGAGUGGGAGUAAAUAGUGAUACUACGGCACGAUUUAAAGCUGCUGUUCAUAUAUAUACGCUGAUGAUCUGGCUCUGCUCUCGCAACGAAAGUGAUAAAAGCAAAGGAAAAGCUGCUGCACAUCAUCCUCUUAGCAGUGUGCGUCUGUACAAUCGUAUACGUACGUUUAGCUUGUUUGCGUUUUGCAAAGCCCAGCGGAAGAGAGAGAUGAGAUUCCCCUCCCGUUGGCUGUCUGUCUCUGUCGCUAGGAGCGAGAGCAAAUGAUGCAGGGAGGAGGAAAAGGACGCGACGCAAGUAACGCUCUGUGUGUGUGUGUUUGCGUGGGUGUGUGUGCGCCUGGGUCUUUGCUUUACACUCAUGAUCCCCAUGAAAGAAUUCCUGUAAUUUUGUUGUCGAUCGCCUCGGUAGAAACGCACACAUGAGCCUGCCAGUUCCUGCCUGCCUAUCUUUUGAAAAGAGGAGAAUGCGCGCGCCAGUCCUGACAAAAGCGGCCUACCUAUAGCCAGGAGGUCAAAAUCAGAGCCCGGCCGGCGAGAGCGAGAGAUCACAAAAGCUAGCUCCUCGUCGCUAGCAGCUGCAUGCCCCUCCAUCAUGCAUGCGAGCCCAUUGCAGCAUGUACAUCGAUCUAUCAGCUAGCUAGGGCAACAUUUGCAAGGAGCAAUGUAGCCAGGUCAUGCUCAACAGCUCAAAGUCUAUUUAUUUCUUAUUAGGAGGGGGAAAAAAAGGUCGAUCUGGAUUCUGGUCAAGCAGUACGUACGUAGACAGGCGAGGAAAGAAUACUACAUGUGGUGAAGUGCAGGCGCAGCAGCAGCUGCCAUUAGCUAUUUUGCUUAGGUAGCUAGCUAGCUAGGCCACUCAAUGCAGCCAAUCAGCUCAACAUGUGAGGGGCUCCAAUUUGGGUCAGAGAACAACCGACAGCUCCAGCACGUUAUUGGCCUCAUCCUGCAGUGCAGCUAGCAUCUGCGCACCCCCUGCCUGCGCAGGCCACAUUGCAGGUAAUUAUGUGCCCAUGCAUGCAUGCAUCACACCCACACCCAUCCAUCCAUCCAAUAUGGAGCAUGUCGUCUCCAGUUAAACCCAUCAUUAUGACCCGCUUGGGCUGCCAAUUCUCUUCAUCAAUGACAACACAUGCUGACAUGCCGGCCGUGUGUCAGUCAGUAAUUAAGCUCACUUAAUUGACCACGAUAAUUAGGCAAUUAAUCCUCUAGCUAUAGUGCCUGUACAGUGGAACGCGUACGCACUCAUGUGAGCGUGUGGGGUGUCCGCCUGGCCGGUGUCGAAAAAUAAUGCAGUCCCACCCAUGCAUGCACGCUUUCCUUUCUGUGUUAAUAAGCCCACCACACGGUCAAAGCACAACUUGCACAGAUCUCACGAGACCGGUCCGUGCGUACGCGCGUAGUGUGGUGGCACGUAUAAACGGAGCGAUCGAGCACAACAGCAGGGGCUCGUGCUCCUACUAUAACGUGUGCGUGCUACGGUACGUGUAGGGAUUUGGAUUCCAGCCGGGCCCGGGGUGCAUGGGCAUGGGCCGGGCGACAAUAAGGGCAACCCUGGCGCGGGGCCGCCAGGACCACGUACGUACCCCUGCUUUAUGUGGGUAAGUCGCAGCCGCGCAGGGCAGCAGCAGCCAGCGCGUGGGCCUGUCCCUCGAUCGCUCCCGUGCGCGCGCACGGGACUUGCCUUGCCCCUGCCCUGCGGCGAUGUCAUCAUCGAGCUAUCCCUGUCCGCGGGCCGCCGGCGUCGGAUCUCUGAUCGAUGGGGGUGUGGUGGCGAUCUCUUUGGCUGUGAUUUUUGCAAUUUAUAUACUCCCUCCGUUCUUUAUUAAAUGUCUCAAAUUUGUCCAAAUAUGAAUAAAUCUAUACUUAAAAGACGGCUAGACACAUGUAAUAGAAAGUCACUUAAUACGUGACGGAGGGGGUGUCGUCCGGUACUGUUGGGUUUGGGUUUUGGGUGCUACAGUUUCCCCUAUGCUUUUCUUCCGUGCCAUGGCAUCUUGCUGGAUGUUAUACAGUGCAGCCCGGCCGGGCUGCCGGGCAUAUGCAUUCAAACUAUAGGAACUUUGCUACUAGCUAGGUGCCGCGGUGCCGGCCAGUACAAUUUAAACGGAAGGCGAAGAGAACAAGAUUCAAUUGGAAGUUGGUUCACAUGGAUUCCAUAUAUAAUACAGUACGUACCACUUGACAUUCAAAGGGGAUGGUCUCGUAAUUAAAGAGAACACUAGAAAGCCCUAGCGAAAAGGAGGACGAUUAAUGUCAAGGGUUUACGUACGUAUAUACGUGCACAAACACACCUACUUGGACAGUUGGACUAGCUAAGACUAGAAAUUAAUUAAGUGGCAGCCCCAUGCUUCGCGAAUGUCGUCUCAAGCUGCUUCUCCUCGAAACCCUAAUUAUUAACAAGUGCCGGUGGAACGUAAACAACAAUCUCGAUCUCUGGAUAUAUAGAUACUCCAUCGGUGAAGGUUAUUCCUUUCUCUUAAUUCCUCGCUCGCUUCUAAAGAUGACGAUGCCAACGGGAUGCAAUUCAAUCGUGUCAAUAUCCUUGCAAGAAGAAUCUGGUGUUUGGGAGAAACUAAUUGCCGUAACAAGCUCGCGCGAACAGAUCAAUGAAACCAAGAAGAAGAAAUCAAAAGCAGAAAGAAAAAAAAUGCGCCAAACCAGUCGGAGUCGGACCAGCGGCCGCGAAGGCGAAGCCCUACGAGUCGUCGCUGGCGCUCAUGCUCUCGUUCCUCUCGCCGCCGCCGUGCUGCUGAUGCUGGUGGUGAUGCUGGCUGCCCCCUUCAGCUGCUCCAUUGUGCUGCCCAGCCACGGUGACCUCCGACGCCGCCGCCGCAUGCUGUCCACGGUACGCGUUGAGCGCGGCGAGGAUCCCCAUGUGCCCCUCCCCAGCUGAUCCACCACCGCCGGCCUGGGCCUGGCCGAGGCCCAGAUGCUGAGCGGCUUGCCCGCCGGGCAGCAGAGCCAUGGGCGCCGGGAGGUUCAUGAAAUGCAGCCCGCUAGGCACGCCGCGGUACACGGCCGCUGCGCCGCCAACGCCGCCGCCGCUCCCAGGUUGCGGGAACGUCGUCCAGAUCGAUUCGCCGCCGGCUUGCGUGGCUCCGGGCUGCGCGUUGCUUGUCGUCGGCACCAUCCAUACCGUGCCGCCGCCCGGCAUUUGGCUCUGUGUGACCGUGUACCCGGCCAUCUGCUGCUGGUAUUGCAUCUGCUGCUGCUGCUGCAGUUCUUGCUCCCAGCGCCGUUUCCUGGACAGGUCGUUGUUGGCGGCGGCGGACGACGAGGACGGCGAGACGUCCAGCCCCGCGGAGGUCCCGGAGUGGAAGCUCAGGAGCAGCGGGGAGGAAGACGAGGACGUGACGGUCGAGGCUGGGCCGCCGUCGAACCCGAGGCCCAUGAAGCGGUCCCACGCCUCGGCCCGUGCGCCGCCGCCGAAGCGAGAGCCCGAGCCCAGCAGGCCCGUCUGCAGGCCGGCGGCGCGGAGGUGGGCCGGGAUGGAGGAGAGCAUGGAGCCCGAGGAGCGGAGGGAGAUGUUGAGGGAGGUGAAGUUGGCCGGGAUGGUGCCCGUGCCCGUGGCGGCGAUCACGGCCGGCUCCGCCUGCUGCAGCAGCCACUCGAUGGUCUCGCCGUCCGUCUUGUGGCCCAGCUCCCGCGUCAGCUGGAACACGCGCGCCGCGCAGAUGGCCGGCAUCCGGAUCCGCCGCCCGCGCCCGUCCACCUUGGUGUGCCGGUCCUUGCUCGUCGUCCGCUUCGGCGCCGCCGACGCCUUCCUCGCGACCUGCUGCAGCUGUCCGUUCGUGCCCCCGGCUCCCAGCGCGGCAGCAGCCGGAGAGGUGGAGCACGGCUGCAGGUACGACUGAUCCUCCUUCUUCUCGAGGAGCUGCAGGGGGAGGCGGCGGCCUCCGCCGGCGGCGUCUCCGGUGACGUCCAUGGUCUCUCGAUUAGGCCAUAGACCUACGUACAGCACGGCACGGCACAAACAAGAUCGAUCGAUGCUUUGCUGUCCUUUUUUUUUCUGGCCAGGGGAAUUGGAGCGGUGGGUUGGUGACGUUCGUACGUACCAAGCUGUUGUUGUGGGGUUGCUCAGCGGGCUGGUUAGGUGAUGUGGGGACGGCGGUGAAGGCGGCGGCGGCGGAGCUGGAUUGAGAAAGAGAUCAAGGACAGAAAGAGAGAGCUACUAGCUGUUAGGAAAACACACUAUAGGCCGGUUGGAAGGAUUAUUUUAGUAUGAGGACAGAGAGAGUGAUCUAGAUGAUCUUGUGGAGAACUGGAGAUCGAUCAAACACUAUUUUAUGGUGUUUUGGAAUGGUUUACCUCGUGUAUGAGUUGCAGGGAGGACCGGAGGACGAUGGCUGGGGAGGGGAAGGAGCAUAUGAUAGGGGAGAGGAGAGAGAGGGAGAACGUCAAGGCAGGAGAUGAUGGUGUACUUUGUCGGGAUUGGAGGAGAGAGAUCACGACGCACUAAAGGUAUGUUUGACAGAGAGAGGCUGAUAAGGAUAAGAAGGACUACGGGGACGAGAUCAUUAGGGGUUCACUUAAUUAAAGUCCUGAUUUUUUAUAAAAUAGAAACUUUAUUGUUCCUUCCUCUGCAUCGAAGAAACAUAUAGCAUAAAGUUUUACUCCCUCUUCAUCAAAAAUACACAUAGCAUAAAGUUUUACUCCCUCUUCAUCAAAGAUACACAUAGCAUAAAGUUUUACUACAUUAUCCCGCAACAAUCAUAAAACAGUGACCACGUCUAAAGGUGUAACAUGCAUAUCUCGAAUCGACCUAUAAACUACACAACCUAGAGUUAGCAUGCCAUCUAAACCGGGACAGUAACUCGAGCAUGCAAACUCUAUGUAUUUGGGAGCUGUUUGGUUUGUGCCCCCAACCAGCCUUGCCAAAUAUUUGGCAGCCUAUGGUUAUUUGGUUGUUGUUUGCUUCAUUGCCAAAAUUUUGGUUGCCAAUAUGAUUCAUCUCACCUCUCUCACAUAUUCUUGUCAAAUAGUUGGCAAAAUGAGGACCAAGGAAUCCUUAAUCAAAAAAUUGGCAAGCCAAAUCUUGCCAACAUUUGAUAGGGUUGUAUUUGGCACAAAAGAAAGUUCGAUCUAGUAGAAAAAAUCUGAAAAAUGAUCCAAUCUAAUCCAGCAACUCGACACGAUUAAUGCAACAAAGAUUCAACAAUGCAAAUACUAAUGUGAAAAUUGCAAGGCUCAGAUUGUUUUUUGGGACGAAGGUAACUAAUCUCUACUUUUUUUUAUUGGCUUUUUCUGGACUAUAGGUAAAACAGAUCUAAACUAGGGAUAAAUUGGAAAAAUCUCACCGAGCAACCUUAAACUCUGAUACCACGUGAUAUGGGUCAGGGUGGCCCGAUUUUUCGAUGAGAUUGAUAACUCUCGAUUUGGUUAGGAGGUGACGUUGAUGAUCCGACUACGGCCUAGAAGGCAGCGCCUUAGCAAUCGAUACACCAACUCCAGAGAGGUUAUUGAUCACGCGGGGGCACGAUCAACCUGACCACGAAGGUCUUUGUUCCUGCAAGCAAUCGAAGAACAAGCAAGAACAAGAUAAAUAGCGGAUGCAAUCUGAAGUUGCGAGUAUACUAUAUCAAACCAAUGUCUCAACGAGACGAUAAAUUGGGGUUCCGAAAGCGGUAAAACAGGCGGUCUAACCGACACAUGCGAUUACACGAAGUAGUAGCGAUGGCUAACUUUUAACUAAACAAAACCCAAUGCUCCUUAGGGGGGCUCGGGGGAUAUAUAAAGGAGGAGGGAGAGAGAUUUUCGUCCACCUUGAGUAAGGAGGCCGAAAUCCAACUCUUCACUAACUUUCCUAACAACCUACAACUCUUUAGGAAACCGAAAAACAGAUCCGUCAGAUUGUUUUGUCCGCCACGGUCAGCACGCAUCGAAUCUCCUUGUGGGGCCGGAUUCGUUGGAAAGGUCUUGUAAUUACCUUUCCAACAAGUACUUGUUUGCUUCAUUUGAACUUCGGAUGCGGCCUAGGUCAUUAAAACAAAUUCGGGUCUCCUGACAGUUCGGACCCGAAUCGGAUUCAACUUUAAUUUGUGAUAUCUUUCUCUAACAAUCUCCAAAUCAUGUGCUGUUUGAUUUGUUGGAAAGUACACUUGAAAUCCUUCCCUCUCAGCUGUAUGGAUGCUUGAUUCUUGUUGGCCCUCCCGUUCACUUCCAUCGUAUCUCAUCUUGACCUUGGACUUGAAAAGCUCGACAAGAUGCCUACGUAAUAAAACGAGACAAGAUAGUAGUAGCUCCGCCUCUUCAUAAAAUAUGACAAUGAAAACAAUUACUAUUUAAAUUCACCUGAUUAUAAAUCUUGUCAAAUAUUAUAGAAUUGAGGGUCCCAAAGGUUGUAUCCAUGGUUAGCAUGUCCAUAUCAGUAGGGUUGUAUUUGGCACGAACCAAACAGCCCCUUGACUCCCAAAUAUCUAUAUACAUCGAAAUCCGGACAGACCGGAGUUGACAAAACUUGAUACAACAAAGGAUAAACAUUUGUAAUAUAUGGCUCGCAUACACAUGGACACCUCUAAUUAUUUCUGUUGCAGAAACGUGUGCGUUCGUUGAUCCAAGAAACAUAUUACAGACGAUUGACAAAACUGAAACAAACACCGACAUCAAAGAUUUCUAAUAAAACUAAAAGUUACAUCAAAAUUUCAAAGUCAAAGUUGCUAAGACCCAUCAUCUGUAUCUUAGUAUCUCACCAUGUCUCCGGUGAUAAAUCGGAAGAAAACCGGACAUGUACAUUUGGACUAACUUUGCAGGGAUUUGAUCAUAUUUAACCCACUUAAUUUGCACUUUGAUGAUUUUUUUCCCACCUUGUCUCACUUACAAAUGGCUCCAUACCCCACAUGUAAGUGCCACAGUACGGACUAAAUCAUAGAAGUGCAAAUUAAAAUGGAACAAUUUUUUUUGAGAGCAUUAAAAUGGAACAAAUUAUCAAAUCUGUUUGUAGGUUGGGGAAAUAUCCAGUAAAAACUGGAAAUUCAGUGCAAAUCUGAAAACUCCCAACGUGAGUCAUCGGAUCAACAACGGAGGGUGUGGAUCAAAGGUGGGAUUUCUAAGCGUCCACUUAGAACUUUUCGCACAACCCCCUCCUUUCUCCAUAAUUAACUGAAUAAUUAGCCCACCAGCCCCCUUCUCCUAUCCCGUAUCUGUGCCUCUCGGCAGCUGGGCGACGGCGGCUCGGCGUUUCCCCCGCGCUAUGGCGGCUCAAAGACUGCGGAGACGCCACCGCUCUAUGCCUGGCGACCGCGACACAGCCCCAGCACGCGACGGCGUCGCGGCGACCUCGGCCAUGCCACACCGGCAACUUGGUGAGCGCUGCGCGGCCCGGCGCGGCAGUACUCGGCGGCCGCCACGCUUCCCGAGCACGAAGGAAUCUAUGCAUCCACGCGCAGCCGCGACAGAGACACGGGGGCCGCUGCGCUGCCCCAGCAUGACGGCAUCUCGUCGGCCACGGGCCCACGGCACUACUGCGACGGAGACUUCGCAGCCGCUGCGCUGCCCUGGCGCGACGGCGUCUCUGCGAUAGUGACUCGACGGCCAGGGCACAGCCCGCACGCGAUGGCUUCGGAGGCUUCUCCAUCGAAACUUUAUUCUGCAGUGCCUUCUGAAGUCGUUCCUGAAUCACCCCACCGCCUGCACCUAAAUCAAUAGAGAAAGAAUAGGAAUUUCAGUGCUUACCGGUACAGGGUUACAAGGAGGCUGGGGUGUGGGAGGGGACGAAACUGCGAGACCAUCGAGCACGAGGGCCAGUGGCGACGCAUGGUCUGAAGGGAGGCUCUCCCUCACGUCCGGCGGAGGGCGAGGGCUCAUGGCCGGUGGCGCCAUCGUCAGAUCGAACACGAAGUGACCAUGAGGAGGCGAAGAACCAGGGAGUUUGGUCAUCGUGGCAAAAGAGAGGGGGUUAUAUGAAAAGUAGAGUUAAGUGGUGUUUACAGAUCCCACCUUCGAUCCACACCGUUCGUUCUUGAUCCGAUGACUCACGGUGGAAGUUUUCAGAUUUGCACCAAAUUCCAGUUUUCACUUGAUAUUUCCCACGUAGGUUUGGACACCUCUAAAGAUUUUACCCAUAGAAACCCCGAACCUUCACACAGCCCAUGCAACAGCCCACAGCCCAACCGCUUCCGAGCCUCUCUUUUCUUCUGCGCGCAGCUCAUACACGAGGCAGCCCACGCGGGUAGGCGAUCGAUCGUUCGUUCUCCCGUGAGCUCUGAUCGAUCGAUCGAUCCUCCUCCUUUGGUCCUGUAUGUGCGCUAGCGACUCGCGCCCAGCCGCCCGCCCCCGCGCCCUUCCGCCGCUCCCCUGCGUUUGCGUCAUUACCGAUUCGCCGUGCCGGAUCGUUCUCUUCUGAGCCCCGGGAACUAUAGGUCAGGAAGCAAGGACUGGUACGUACUGCUAGUGCUAGGUUUUUAAAUUUUGUUGAUAUAUACGCGGACUAAAUUAAUGUAACACUGAUUCAUGAACUGAAGGCGACAUUAAAAUUUCGGAAGAAGAUUCUUAAUUUCUCAUACAUUUGUCUUGCAAUUUGUGAAAGAAAUUCUUAAUUUUCUUGCCAUGUUCGUGAAAAAGGAAAUUAUUCCUCAUAGUUGCAUUCGAGAGGCCUCGAUUGGGCUACCAUCCAACAGCCUAAUAACCGCCGACACAACAUUUUUAUCUCUUCAACUAAACAUAAUGUGCAUCUCCUAUCCCCUUGACGAGAUGAGUCCCCACGCCACACACACACAACACACACAAUAGAUCAAGGAAUGGUCGGGCUACUCUCGGUGAUCUCAGGAGGCCUUUGUAGACUGCUCUGAGUCGAGAUCAGAGACUAGAUGUAGGCCGAGCUUCUUCUUCCUCCUACCCAAUGGGUCAUGCCAUGGGUGACUUCAUAGAGUUUCAAUUCACAUCAUUAUGCUUCAUAAGGCAUUGGCAUCGAGGGGAACGAACCUAGGGUCACUUGAUUCGGCUCCGAAGAAACUCCGGCGAGCUCAAGUUGGCGAAAACACUACUAUAGAUGUGUGACGGUGGAAGAUCAAUGAGUUCAUUUUUUUCAAUGUUCCGAAUAGUAUUUUGACAUGCUACAAGCACACAUAUUUGCUACUUACGCACAACCGUUGUGUUGCAACGACCCAAGUGAUUAUUUUGAUGAAUGCAAAUGUAUUUUUUUCGUUACUGCAUACACCAACAUUGUUUUCUUACGCUGAAUAGAGAUUUGUUGCAUACAAAUAAGUUCUUGUGACAUGGACAUGGCUCACUUAUUAGUAGAUUUUUGGUUUUGUGAGGGAGACCAACCUCUAAAAGUAAACGCCACAUGUCUCAGCACAAACGUACAAUUUUAAGCAGCUCAGACGAUCGAAAAGACAACGGAUCGGUAAAAAAUAUCAUAAUUCCGCCGCCAGCUGCCCCGAGAAGUCCUCGGGGUCGCAGUCCUGGCGCCAUUCGAGCGCCAAGCACUCGUAAUCCGGCUCAGGCGCCCACUCCGGCUCCGGCUUUGGCCGUACAAGGCGGAGAUGGUCGCGAGGCGGCUCCGGCUCCCGUCGGUGGGAGGACGAACCCGGCUCAUCCUUGAUGCGCAGCGCUGGCAAGGAGGCGCGGCGGGACGAGCCGGAGCCGAAGUUGGUUGGCCCGGCCCUGUGCCGGUGCCGGCGGUGGAGUCUCCAGGCGCGGGUUAUCGUCGGCAGCGAUGGGGGCGAGCACCGCCGCCACGGAGCGCCCGCGCCAGAACCGGCGCCGGCCGUCGAUGUUGAACCGGUCCGGCGGAGGGCGCUCGUUUUGGCCCUCGUAGCGGGCGAUGUUGACGGGGUGGCGGUCCGUGAAUAGCGGCGCCCAGUUCGCCCCGGUGGCGCGGUUCCACGCGGGGUCUUGGCGCUCCUCCGCCAUCAGCCCGUGCCACCAGUAGGCGUUGAUGGCGGUUGUCCGGGCACGGCCAGUGAGCACCGGUGGCGUCGGGAUGCCGCCGAUGCUCAAUGUCCAGUGCGCUGGCAGUCAGGCGGCGCUGGGUACUCGUGCUCGUGGAGGGCCUCGGCCUACCCGAGCGUGAGCGUCGCGCGGCGCUAGGUCUCGUUGCCGGAAGCCAUGGAGUCGGAGGUGGCGUCCGAUGGUUUAGUGUUUAGGGCGAGAGGGAGGAAGCGGCGAGAGGAAUGCCGAGUACCACCGGUGGUUGCCCCUUUUUAUAGCGCCGGAAUGUGAACCGGCGGGCGUGUGAAUGCGGCGAUAAUGGACGGGGGUGCGGCCGCGUAGCAAACGGCGGGCUACCGCCAUUAAAAUCCGCCCGGGAGCUGAGGAGGGGCCGGUGAGAAACCGGUGAGGCGAUUAAUUGGUCGCUGAGAUCACGGGCCCGCCGCAAUAACGCAGCGCCCUUGCUCGCCCCCCUGUGGGCUGGGUUCGGUGUGGGGGGGCGGCUAACAAAUUUGGGGAGAUCGGCUGGGUCGAAAUUUUUGCACCAGCGCCCCCGAAGCCCGUUUAGGGGGCCUUUAGGGGGGGCGGCUGGAGUUGCUCUUUGUUGGUGGUUGUGGGGUCUCACUAUCUGUAUCCUUCUUGUAUCCAUUACUCGUUUGAACGCAGAUAACGUAUGUCUACGGGUGUAAUGUACGGAAAAAACAGGAAAAGAACAUGUACACUAUUUUGGGCCUUCCGCGCCCGUUUUGGGCCCGGCUAACCCCGUUUAUUCCGGGCCGGGCCGGCUCGAUGGCCAGAUACAGAGAAAAGAGGAGACGAGUGUAAAUGAAAGAGAAAAUAUCACAAAACCACAACAGUUACGUCCAUCUUAUCACUUAACCACAACUUCUGGAUUUUUUAUCCGAAAACCACAACCGAGCCUCCUAAUUGCCUUUGGCUUCUCUUAACAGCGAAACUGACGUUCCUGGCCCACCUGUAAGUGUUGACGGGGCAGCUGAUGGGGCACCGGGCGAGCCAGACACCGACCGGUCCGGUCGGUAGAUAAGCCAGGCGAGCCGCGAGCCCAUUCUGCGUGCGAAAAGCCAGUCUCCUUUCCCUCCAUUCGCGCCUUCACUGGUAGUGAAGUCACGGGCGGCGACGGCGGCGGCAGCUUGGAGCUCGCCGGCGGGAAGGAGCUCUUGCCCGAGAAGGAGCACGUCGGCGGCACACUGCAAUGGAUAAUGAGGUGAGUCAACUCCAUACAUUUGGGGAUUAGGGUUUGGUUGAUUGGAAUUUGAGGAUUUGGGGAUUAGGGUUCGGUUCAUCCGCUUCGAUUUGGGGGCUUCAGUGCAUCCAGUGUGGAAUUGAAGGGGCUCACAUACAAAUUGCAGGGGAGUUGCCGCUUCUAUGGCAAAGUUCCUAUCGACAUUGACGAUGUGGAGUUCUGUGGUGUGGAGGUGGACACGAAGCUGAAGUGCCGUCAUGGGUUGCAGCCAGUUCCUAGGGUUGCCUUUGAGGGCACUGAUACAGGCCGACGCUUCAUCAAUUGUUGUAUUGAGGUAACACUCAUUUGCAGUAAAUGUAUGUGUGUGUAGAAGAGAUUAAUUGAUUCAAUCUUGUUUGCUGCUUAGGAUGCUGACAGGUGCGAUUUCAUCUUUUGGUAUGAACCUGAAUGGCCCAUGACAAUGAAGAAUGCUCUUCAAGCUUUGUGGAAGAAGCUAGAUGAGAAGGAGCAGAGUAUGUACCGUGAGAUUGAUUCGUUGCUGAAUCACAUGUUACAGGAGAAGUUGAAGGCAGAGAAGGAAAAAGAAGAUGUGGAGACUGAAAUGGCAGAAAUUGCAGCCGAAUUUGAGGACAAGCUACAGGUUAUGAAGAAUGCUGUUGAGAAGAAGAACAAAUGGUUCAUGAUUUCAGUUUUCUGCAAUGUAGUGAUGCUUGGAGUUUUAGCUUCUGUGUUUGCUCUCAAAUCAUGAUGUGUAAUCUGUGUUUGCUCUCAAAUCAUGAUGUGUAAUCUGUCACAAUGAAUGUGCACUGAAUAUGUUGGCUGCUGUUUAUUAUGAAUGAAUAUCAUCUGUUUGAAUGAGUUUUGAAUGAAUAUCAUCUGUUUGAAUGAGUUUUGAAUGAAUAUCAUAUGUUUGAAUGUGCACAGCAAAUUGAGACUGUGUGUAAUGCUAGAAUUGGGACAGAAUGAAACACGUACUUGCUAGAAUUUGGACAUAAUGAAACACAUCAAGUCGAUAACAUCAACUGGAUCUUAAAGUGCCACAUAAGCUGGCCAAAAUACACACAUAUUCAGUCACUCGUACAGCCACACAACUUGGCCAAAAUGCACAUAUUCAGUCACUUCUACAGCCAACCUAGCCAAAAUGCACACAUACUCAGUUACUUCUACAGACAUAAGAGGUUCACAACAACAUAACAAGUUCACAACUACCAUAAGAGGUUAAUGACAUGCCAUUUCACACAUUAUGGCUCAACAUCAUUGUCAUCAACUCGGAAAGAAGAUUCUACCCCUGCAGUAAAGUACUCCAUCAUUCCUCCCCUUGGCCUUGUCACUCCUCCUCUUCCUCUAACAGCAGACAUCUUUGCAGCCCUUGGAACUCUAUGGUGCAGACCUGGGAGCUUCAUAUGCUGGCUCUGGAGUUGUGUAGCUUGGUUCUAGAGGUGGGUAGCUUGCUUCUGGUGUGUACCUUGAUUCUGGAGGUGGGUAGCUUGCUAAUGGUGGUGGUGGUGUGUAGCUUGGUUCUGGAGGUGGGUAACUUGCUAGAGGUGGUUCAGUGCUUACAUCUCCUCCUGCCGAGCCUCCUUCAUAUUCUUGCCUUCUUCUAUUACUCUAAUGACAUGAAAAAGAAGUUAGUUAUGCUUAGUGUUAUAUAAAUGUGUGUAAUAGAAAUCAUUAAAUUACUUGAUGCUGUCUUUUCCUAAUCUCCAGAUCAGGCCUCAAAGGUUUGGAGCAGCUUGUGUACUUAUGGCCUUGCAAGUGACAGUUGCUACAAGUGGAACUUGUCAUUCUGCCUUUUCCUACGGGUACCUUAGCUUUCUCAUCUGUUCCUUUCCUUCUAUUCUUCUUCCUUCUACCAAGGUAGUUCAAGAAAAUAGGUGGAUCAAUAUCAGGACUGGCUGUCUUGGUCCAUGCAUGCUUGCUAGGGACUGGAUACACCAGCAGUUUGUGUGCUUCUUUGUAUAAAGGCAUUUUGAAAAAUGGGUAACGUAAUCUUCAGGGUGACCUUUUGCUUUGUAGAUGGCAGCACAAGCAUGCUUGCAUGGCACUCCAUUCAGGUCCCAUCUUCUGCAGCCACAUGUGUGAGCUAACAAGUUAACAUGAUAACUAUGAUCUCCACUUCCUACCUGCCAUAUUCCCUGUCCAGCACACACUGGCCUGCAUGGCCUUGAUCUCUUUUUCUCCAUCUCUAACUGUUCAGCAUACUUUGGACAUAUCUUCCAAUUAGCUGUUGCAGCCCCCUCUCUCUUUUGGUUAAAUCUGGGCAUUAGUUUAGUCCUAAUCCCUUCUAUCAUUGUUAUAAUAGGCUUAUCUCUUAAUGAUAUGAUGAAUUUGUUGAAAACCUCAGAUAAGUUGUUGACCACUAAAUCAGUUUUACAAUUGGUGUCCAUAGCAUGUCUACACCAGUGCUUAGUUGGUAUCUUGUUCAACCAUUCCCAUGCGGCCUCACACUCAUCUUUCAAAGCAGCCAUAGCCUCAUCAAAGUGGUGCUUAGUGUAUGCAUAACUAGCACUGUACAUUAACUUAUUUAAGUCACCACUCCUAAACCCUGUUGUUUGAUAGUUCUGGUACAAAUGCCUAAGACAAUAUAUUUGUUCACAAUCAGGAAAAACUCUUUCUAAGGCGCCAAGCAGACCCUAUUAAUGUAUUAAAGUAUUUAUGUCAGCCAUAUGAAACAAUUUCAACUUUGAAUUGAUAUUUUCUACAUAUGAAGGAAUCAAGUUAUGUAUGUAUGUUGCAUACCUUCUGUCUAUCAGACAUGAAGGUCCAUCUACCAAAUGGGACUGAAUCACCACCAAGUGCAUAUUUGAGCUGUUCCAAGAACCAACACCAGCUAGGGGUAUCCUCUUUGCAAAAGCCAAAGGAAACAAAUUAUUGUUUCCAUCCCUUCCUGAAGCUGCCAAGACUUGAACCCCAGUGGUCAACUUGAUAAAACACCCAUCAACACGUGUUAAUAUACAAUUUCUGUUAUUUAACUAUGAAAUGUACCGGAUAAUGUUUUAAACAAUGGGACAAUAGUUUAAUGAUUUACCUAUGAAUGGCCUGCAUCCAUUUUUAAAUCUUUCAAUUUGUGCAUUCAGGCAGUAGAACAGCCCAUGAAACCUAGGAUUGAUAGCUGGCAUUGGUUGCAUCAUGGUGUGGACAAUACACCUGCUGCCUGGAUUGGUAUCAAGGACAGUCUGGAGGUAAUCUCUAAUUCUCACAUAUUGCUCCUUGUGAUUCCCUAACACCACCUCAGCUGACACUUCAACACCAUAGUCUCUGAUGGUCUUGUCAAUCAUUGCUGUUACUUUCCAAUCUAGGUCACUCCUUAUUGCCUCCUCAUAUGUCUUGCUAAGCCAGCCACUACUGACUCUUGUUGUCUCAUAGUCUAUUCCACAGGAAUGAUUCAUUACAAGCUUUCGAAUGCACACUGUUUUAUCAUGUUUAAUUUGUGAAGCUACCAUAUAGAAUGGACCAAAUUCUUUACUGCAACGAAUAAUUACUCUAUCUCUAUCAUUUCUGAGAUACUUGUAGUCUCUAGCUUGUGCAAUGUGCAAACCCUUUAGAGCACGUCUAAACUGAUGGACAUCAGUAAAGCACAUGCAUAACAUAAUCUGAUCAUGAGGCUGCUUCCUAGCUUCAUCAUACCAUACCCUAGGAGGUAACUACUUGGCUCUACUCUUCUUCUUAAGUGGUUGCAUCAGUGUAGCUACUUCAGCCCCAUCAUCAUCACUAGAUCCCAACUCUUCUUUGAUGUUCAGAUCAUCAUCAGACAAUACAAAUACUGCGACAUCACUACUAGAACCUUGGGCUGCUGCAUCUCUCUUCUGUGUCCCAAUUGUUGAACCUUUCCUUUUCCUUCCUGUGCUGACAGAUUCUUGAGUUUCUUGCACUGGAGCUUCAACAUUAAUUGGAACUAGAUCUGGCACAUUUGUUGCAAAUGGAUCAUGCAGAGGCACAUCAUCUGGUUUAGCAAACAAAUCCUCAUCUUCUGUAUCUCCUUCUACAUGCAAUUCAGGAUCAUCUUUCUCUCUCUGAAUCUCUUGCAUUUUCUCCAAUGCCUCCAAGUCCACUACAUUCCCACUGCCAUCAGGUGCAAAAGCUUCAUCUGCACUGCUAUCAUCUGAAAGUACCAACAGGCCCUCCUCAUCAAUGCUAGCAAUGCCUUUCCCUUUGUCCUUCUGCAAAUGCAAACUCUCUCCAUUCACACUCUCUUGUGUGCCAACAUCUGCUGCCUCAAUAAACUCAGGUUGUCUAGUUGGCUUAAAAGAUCUCUUAGGCUUUGAAGGUGAUGGCUUCAAUGUGGGCUUCGAAGGAGGUGUACAUUUCCUAAACAUUGUCAAUGUGACUUUCUUAAUAGCCUCAUACUUCUUCACCAUCUCUUCUACCUUCUCAUUGCUAUCUAUAACCUCAAGCCCAGCAAUGCCUUUGCUUUCUUGUUUCAUAUAGUACAUAUAUGAAUCCCCAAUGUACCCAAAGGUAGAAAUCAAACUGAGCAAGUUUUCAUAUCUCAAAUAUGUCCUGCCAAUCCUUCGUUUAACCAUGUCUAAGCCAUCAAACAGCAGAUUCACAUCCCAAACCUCAUCGUCAAGCCUACGGCAUUUGAAUGACAAAAUAGUCAAUUCGGAGCACAAAUAACAGCAACUCGCCCCAAAAAGUACACCUAAUUCAUGUCUAACCAAACCCUAACCUCUCAACCUCUAUCAGGUCGCGAUUUACCUAACCCUAGCUAAUUCGUCACCAUUGUCAAAAUACUCCAUGACGCAGCGAUUCUUCCCACAAAUGCAAUCCACCUAAAUCCACAACGAAAAUCACCAAAAAAAACGUCGAUCAUCCAAACCCCCAACCCUUCCUCGCAAGCACGUACCAUCGCGAACAAAUCAACCGACCCCAAGAUGCGAGACAAUCAGGAAAGAGAUCGACGGAUCUUACCAAACCUCGUCGCCGUAGUCGCUCCAGUUUAUCGACAUUGCCGCUGCCGAUCUCCGACAGCACGCCUGCCGUCGCCCAACCCCGUCGCCUACUCUGUCGCCUUUUCUGAGAGAGAGAGAGAGAGAGAGAGAGAGAGAGAGAGAGAGCGGGGAAGGAGGGGAAUGGACUGGCUCGGUCGAACCAGGUCCAAACCCAAAUAAACCAGCCGGGUGCCCCAUCAGCACUUACAGGUGGGCCAGGAACGUCAGUUUCGCUCUUAAGAGAAGCCGAAGGCAAUUAUGAGGCUCGGUUGUGGUUUUCGGAUAAAAAUUCCAGAAGUUGUGUUUAAGUGAUAAAAUGGACGUAACGGUUGUGGUUUCGUGAUAUUUUCUCUGAACGAAAGCAUGCUCUUUCCUUUAAAAAAAAAGCUUGCCCUGCCAAACAGAGAACACCAACGGCUCGGAAGAAUCUUCUCCCCCUCCACUAUUACCCGCACGCUCCGACGAACGCCGCACUAGACUCUGAGCUGAAACCAGGGAGGGGUGAGCGAGGGAACUCGGGGAAGCAGGAGGAGGACGGGGAAAGGUGCGAGAACACCGAGAUGGGGUCCGGAUCUUUCCUCAAGGUAGUGGCCAAGAACUUCGACAUCCUCGCCGGGUACGGGCUUUCCCCCCUUUCCUUCUCUUUUGUUUGGCUUAAUCCUCCCCCGACCCCCGGCGAUUCAUUGAUUGAUGGGAUGUUCUGGGGGGUCGUUACGGCGAUUCUUGAUAGGAUCUGCUGUUCAUAUCGUUAGCGGACCCGGCUGGCUGCGCUCGGGCUUGUGAGGGGAAAGUGUGCGAGAAUCUUGGGGUGGCCGCGUUGUAUGUUGCUAUCUCGUGGCGAGGGGAAAGGGUACGCGAACUCGUUUGGGUCCUUUUGGAUCCUGCUGGCAAUGGGAAACAUCGUGCUUCUACAAAGUUUGUAUCCCCGCGCCCCCCCCCCCCCCCCCCCCCUGGCGGUUAUGUUCAUACUCGGUGAACAUGGUACAUUUGCAUCUUGGAUUAGUGAUAUGGUUUAUGCUUCCAGAAAGAGUGUCAACCAUAUGGUGCUGACAGUGACAGCUGACUCUUGCUGAUCUGCAUGCCCCACAAUCGUGUGGACAAUAGAAAGUUAGGAACAGAGUGCUACCUUGUGUUGUCUAGAAGGAAAACAAUGCUGCGGGUAUUUUUGAAGGGAGCAAUUGAUAUCCAAGAUGGAAUUUGAAUUCCCAUUGUUCUGCGAACUCUGCUCAGUUUAACUAUUGGAUGAGCCUUCCUGUGAACUGCUACAAUCAUGUGAGCUAACUAACUUUUGUAGGCAUGAAAGCUUUUCUGGAUUGUUGUCAUGUGCCGUAUGGACAAUUUGGUUUGCUAUUAGAAUAAAAAUGUUUGAUCUUAGUAAAUGAUAAUGCCAUGUUAUCAUGAAAUUCUCUGGGAGAUAGAGCUAGCUCUGUCUAUGCGAUCUCUCAUAGCUUCAUAACUAGGAUAUGAGACUAUGUCCAUGUAAUGUGUCAUAGCUUCAUGACUAGAAUAUUUAUAUAGAUACUUCCAUGUGAAGGCUAUUUAAAUGCUUCCAGUUCUAAUUUUGUUUCUUAUUUCCUCUUUGCAGGCCAGUAAUUUCACUUGCUUAUCCUCUGUAAGUAUUAACAUUGUCCUAAAUUACAUGAUUCACUAACCUUGUUUUCAUCUCGAAACUAACUUUACAGUAUUGUAGUUCUCACCAUUUUCUCUGUUGACAAUAUUUGCAGAUAUGCCUCUGUGAGAGCUAUUGAAACAAAAUCUCAAGUAGAUGAUCAACAGUGGCUCACUUACUGGGUGUUGUACUCAUGUAUCACUUUGGUUGAGCUUACUUUUGCUCCAGUAAUUGAAUGGUAAAUAACACUUUUCUGGACCCUGGGAUAUGCUUAUUUUAGAAUGUCGAAACCUUUGAUAUUUCAAAAUGUUCAGUAUCGAUGACCUUCUCCAGUACUUUCUACUUUCUACCAGUGGGAAGCUAUAACAAUGAAAGGCUGAGAGAAAAAUUGGCCCUGAUUCUGUCUAUCCCUUUUUAUGCUUCCUGGUUUUCUUAUGAUCUUCAUUAUUUCAUGCUGAUAUUAUUGGAGAUACCUGAAUAUAACUAUGUUUUGUGGAGAAGCCAAUAGAAGAUAUGCUUACUUAAGAUUCUUUUUUGCAGGCUUCCUUUCUGGCCCUACGCAAAGUUGUUCUUCAACUGCUGGCUAGUAUUACCUUGCUUCAAUGGUGCUGCUUAUGUUUACCAGUAUUUUGUGCGGCCAAUGUUUGUGAAUCGCCAAAUUGUAAACAUAUGGUAUGUCCCCAGAAAGGACAAAUUAAGUAAACCUGAUGAUGUACUCUCAGCGGCUGAGAGAUAUAUUGAGCUAAAUGGACCAGAAGCAUUCGAGAAGCUAAUUAGCAAGGUAUAUAUGUUCUCAACUGAGUAAUUACAAAUACUUUUUUUUGGUGAUGUAAUAUGCUACUCCCUCCGUUCCAUAAUUCUUGUCUCAAAUUUGCCUAAAUAUGGAUGUAUCUAUUCCUAAAAAACGUCUAGAUACAUGUAAUAUUUUGACAAGAAUUAUGGAACGGAGGGAGUAUCCCUUAAUGUUAUACGCUCAACUGAUGUAGACUGUAGUGUCCGCGUAUUACUUCUUAUGUCUUUCUGUGUUAUUUGCCCCUUCCUUCCUUCCAAUAUCGGCAAAAGGCUUAUGAAUCAAGUAACCCUUACUUUGAGUGACUUAAUAGAAUUUGCUGAUUGAUUCAUUCUUCUGUGCAAGAUUGUAUUGUCUUCUAUUCUUCUGUGAAUGCUUGCAUUGCUGAUGCAGUUUUUCAUCGAUCAGUGUUCAGUUGCUACUCUUGCAGAAAUUGUACUUCCCCUUCUCAAAAAAUAAAAUUCAAAUAAAUAAACAAUCGUACUUCUCCACAUGACUGGGUUUGUAGUAUCUUUUUCCUCUAUAUUUUACCUCCCUCUAUUAACUCUUCUUUCAGUCUACAAGGGCUUCAAACUCUAGGAGCAUGAGGCGGUCAAUCUUGCAGGAGUCAGAAGCUGAUAAGAUAGGCAAGGCUGAAAGAGAAUCGUGGGGUGAAAAUCCCUUCUACGAUAAAAACUACCGACACUAAACAGCCUGUUCUUCUUGGCCAUCCAUCUCAUCAGGUUAGCCUUAAACUGUACCUGUGAGCUGAAUGCCUAUCUGGAUUUCUGUUGUGAUUUAGAAUCACAGGCUCUUCCUUACGAAGCUUCAAUUCUACUUCUCAUGCAGUAUGUUUGGAUCUGCCAGAGGAAGAGCUUUUCACACAUCUAACUGGAGGAUCUUACUUGACACGCCUACUAAAUCGACAUCCAGAACAAAUACAAUGUUUCUUGAAAAUGGGUGCUUGUGUUGAAAAUUUCCCAGGUUCUUAGAUGAUGUAAUAUGUUGCAUUGUAUGUUCGUGCUAGCUUUGGUUAGAUAAUUUUUUUUGACGCCAAUUGGUUAGACAAAUUGGUCCUGUGAAAGGACAGUGACUACAAAAUCGUGUGUGCGUUAGGGGCAGACAGAGCCCUUAACGUAGCAAUUUCUUGCGUGUUAGCACUUAUCUUACUGCAAAAAUCGCGUGUUUAAAACAGACUUCUAAAGCGUUUUGCAGUCUUGAAGAACUUCAAAUGCAUACAAAUAGAGCUUUCGUUCUGCAAAAAUCACGUGUUUCAAACAGACUUCUAAAGCGUUUUGCAGUCUUGAAGAACUUCAAAUGCACACAAAAAGAGCUUUCAUUUUUGUGCUUCUUACCGGCCUGUUUGGGACAUCGGAUUGAUCUCCCACGGCUGUACAUUCAAAAUUAUGGCUCAAAAUUUAACACGAAGAUUGAUCUAGAGACAAAUAAACACGAUUUCGAAGAAGCACAAACAAACGAUUUUGAUUCUCAAAAUGCCAUCGUCUUGGACAUCUUAGGUUAUAAAAGUUCGUUUUCCCGAUACGCGCUCUAAUCCUCCUACCACGUAAACCACGGACUGCUCCCACAAAGGCCCGCACCACGAUUGAUCCACACCGUUCAUUUGGCACAACAGCGGAACAACCAUACCCCCGCGGUCGUGGUCCAUGCGCCAGGUCCACGGGCACCGCUCGGAGUCCGGAGCCCUUCUUUCCUGCGCCGCGACGCCUCGAGCUCGUUGUUGCCCCUCUCUCUCCCUCCUCCGCUUCGCGCACUUUUCUCGCCCACCGCACACGCGUCGAGCAAAACCCUCGCGCUCUCUGAUCGCCUCCUUCUCCACGCAGCCGGAGGAAUCCGGCCACUGAAUCGCCUCGCCGGUGCCGGUUCCGGCGCUGGCAUCUGUUCCGUGCCGACAAGGAUUAAUUGCCUCGGUCCUGCCCAAUCCAAUCAGCGCUGUGAUGUUUCGGAACCAAGCUUUGAGGUCAUUUUCAUGACUUUGCUAGCGCGUUUCUGAUUUCUGAGAGUUGUUUCGAUUGCGUCAAUCUAGGGUCAAUUUUACUUACGUGCGAGCUAUUUGGGGUUAAAUUUCAAUCGCUAUGCCUCUUUGAUUUGACAUUUUUGGGUUGUUUUUCCCAUUAUAUUGUUUACAUUUCGCAAAUCUUUGGAUUUGGCGGAUAGCUCGUAUGGACCGCUAGCAUGGGCGGAGGACAAAUGGUUUCUGAGGUAGGGCGAACUCCUAUUCAUUCUAGAACCGAACAAAUAGCAUUCAAUAUUUUCUAUAUAUGCAAAAAUAUAUUUUAAUAAUUUUGGUUUGUUUAGCCUUUUUUGCCAUUCAUUUUUAGCAUCAUCGUAUAUUGUCUAGUAACUAAAUAUUUGUGUGUUACUAAAAUUUAAAGUAAUUUUAAUCUUAUGUAUUACAUUAGUUCUUUAAAUAUUUGGGUCUUAUUUAUUAUCUUUGUUCUAAAUAUUAAUUAAUAUAUACCACAUAAAAUAUAUAACAAUGAAUAUGAUUUGCAAGCAGUUUCUACGUGCAGGAACAGACAAGCAACAUUUCAAAAUUUUAUAAUAGUAAAUGUAUAAUUACAUUUUUGUUUGUAAAGAUAUCUUCAUAUUUAACGUACCGAACUAAAAAGAUCUGUAGAUAUUUUACAUGAUAAAACAAGAUUUUUCAACAUACUUCUAGAGAUACAUCAGCAAGAAGCACAAAAGCCGAAACAUGAUUUGACCCAAAUCAGAAUUUCUUAUAACUUAAUAAAGAAAAGUACACCACGUGAUAAUAAUUCUCUAUUGUCAUUAAACAAGAAAUGCAGGUAAAAGAAAAAAAAAUUAAGACAAUAGUGAGCAAUCGUGCAUGGACAUCAACUGUUGUAUGUAGCCAAAAUAAUUCUAUGAGAAACGUUUCAUGAGUCGUGGUUAAAAGGACGGGAAAAUGGGCAAGUACAAGCAAAAGACAAAUUCUUAUUUACAUGAGAUGAAAUUAUGCAACUGCCUCUUUUUUCACAUGGGUCAUGCCUAGGUGUGCCUUUCGCCUUAGCGGGGCUGCACGGCACGACCCGUAUAUAUGUGAGUUUGAAGACCGGGCCGGGCGAAGCGAGCCGUUGGCCAGCUAAUACACCUCUCCCUCCCUCUGCCCGUGAUACCAGGUCUAAUUUUCUAGAAACUUGUUAAAUCUAUGACAUGUGACAUUGCAAACGAUGAAAAUCUCAUCUAUUCUUUUGUUUGAUCGUUCUAGGUUCCUCUUUCAUGUAAAAAAAAAGUUGUUGGGUGCCAAAAACAGAUUGCUCUUAAUCGAAUUUCCAAGACAUAAAAUAACAUCACCUGUCUUGUGGUUCUUCAGUUUGUCACCGACCUCUGUCUUCUCUCUUCAUCUAGCGGUGACGACGGGAGCUGAGGCGGCAACCUCCAUGGCAGCAACCUUCUACGACCAUAUCGAUGCAGGUACCUCCUCCUCCCUCUCGUUUGUCGCUGCUACGUGGUGGCACUUCCGGUGCCAGACCACCUCGACCUGUGCACCAUACAUGUUCCCUUUCCUCGCGCAGUUCCCUUCUCCCAGGAAAGGUAGGGCUAACGAUCAGAUCAAAUCCCCCUAAUCUAUAUCUAUAUAACCUAUAAAGUUGAUCCCCACUAAGUGCAAUUAAUGUUUGCAAACUUCACAUGCAAGGUGUCCACAUCAUGCAUAUCGUGGGCAUUCAAAGUCUCCACAUCAUCAUCCACAUCAUGUGUUCUGGUACACUAAGAAUCCAUUUUGGUGGUAAUUUAAUAUUUUGAUACCUAAAAUUUUCCAUCUUCACGUUACAUACAAAUAUGUCACCAAACACAAAUAUUUUCAUGAUAUCUAUGUCAUUUUUCUAAGAUAUGCAAAUAUUCAGGUUAACGAAACUUCACUUUUCGGAUUUUUCAAAAUUGUUAAUGUUCAUGCACAUCAAAAUUACACAUAUUAUUUUGUUGCAUAAGUGUUAUGAAUGAUAAAAUCGUUUUGUUCUACAAUAUUCAUAUUUAUUUUACAUUAAAUCAUAUUAUUGUCAUUUGUUUGUAAAAUUAUAAGGAGACGUGUAUUUUCUGCGGCAGCCACCUAGUCUUGUUAUCAAUUUCUUCAUAAUCUUACUCUAACUCGAUGGACAACCGGGCCAGAUUAGAUGUCGCAGGCUCGCUCCGUGGCUCGUCUUCCUCCUCGCGCGGUCGCGCCAGCACCGCCACCGCUGCCGAGCGCCCCAGCCCCCUGGCUCGUCUUCCUCCACCGCAGGUUGAUCUCCCCUCUCUCUCCCGACCGUUUCUCCUCUCCCAUCACCCCACGAACGGAUUCCGCCCUUUAGCUCCCCGUUUCAUCUUCCCCAAUUCAUAACUGAGCCGAAAAUCAAGGUGGGGCGGCCGCCCUACCUUGCCCUACCGGGUCCUCCGCUCGUGACCCCUAGGGUUGCCUUGACAUGAAUCGACCCUAAGGGGUAAUGCUUUAUCUGCAGAAACGUUAGUGCAUGAGACGCAAUUUUAAUCGUAAAUUACCCGUCGUGGGGACGGAUUGCCGAACUUUGUUUCUGGUCUAGAGUUAUACUCUGAACAUUCAGUUGUGUUUUUCCAAGUGUUCUGUGCUCUCUUAUCUCCACAUCUUUAUUUUUUUCAAUUUUAUCAUGUUGGCUGGAUUGCUGUUUAGACCUGGAGUUGUUAGGCAUAUUUGUAGUAUGUACUUGAAAGUUCUACAGUUUAUCCCUUCUGUUAUGCUUGCACAGUGAGAAGAAAUGAAGAAUCUAGCUCUAGUGGUGUGUUUGAGUCAGUGAUUCAGAUUUAUAAUUCUGCAGAUCCCUUGCUACAGGGUUUGCCUUUUAUGGGAUUGGUCUAGAGGAAGCCAUGUGGUUGCGACAGGUGUGUGGUCUUGGAAUGAACGCAUCUUGUGGCAUAUUGACUCUGGGUGUUGCUGUCUGGCCGCAGAUUAUUCGAAGAACAAUCCCUUUGAGAGGGAUGUUGAACAGGUAAUCAUUUAUCAGGCUCUUUGCUCAAUGGAAUGAGUAAACCAUGCGUAAGAAAUGAGCCUAUCUGGCUCAGUUGAGUGAGGGAGUUGAUGUACAAUUCUGCCUCCCAAGUUCAUGUCCUCCUGGAUACGAAUUUGGGUCCUUUCUUCUUUUCCAAACAAAAAUACCUACUUCCUCCUACGUAUUCUCAUUUUGUUUAAGUGAUGUGUAAAUUAUGAACAAGAGUAGGGCAAUAACUCAGUGUGGUUGCUGUUUCAUUUCUCAAUGAAAAAAUAAUGAGGUACUGUGGCCCUUGCGCUCUAAAAUAAUCGAGUGUGGAUUUUUGGCACACAUAGACAUAUGCACCCAGCACUAUUUAGCAGCUAUGUGAACUUGCGCAUUUGGAUUUUUUAUUUAUUAUUUAUUUUUGAAGAAGACAUGACACUAACAAAAAAGAGUACCAAAAUAUUUUUAUUUUUUGUCUGUGCAGACAAAGAAUAAAAUGCCAAAAUACAGCAUGAAUGUGUGAAGAUUUUUUUUCUGUACAGUUCACAAAUGAGUAUAUUUUGUCACAAUUUUUUGUUAUUUCUCAUGAUAAUAUGUAAUGCACAUCUGUGAAAAUUUUGAAAUACUUCCCAAAUCCCAAAUGUUUUGCAAUGUGGUCAUAUGAACCGUGCUCAUUUGUGUAUUUUCCGACAAUAACCUUCAAGCUGUGUAACCUUGCUUGAUCUGUUAUUGUCUGGACUCUGGCACCUGGUGCAAACUGCGAAGUGGUUGGUUUAACAACAUGUUGGUGAUGGGAAGCUGGAGCAUCAAACAGGAAAAAUAAGCAGUUUAGCACCUGGUGCAAACUGCAAAGUGAUGAGUUUAACAAUAUUUUGUGGUUAGAAGCUAGGAGCAUCAAUCAUGUAAUCUCUUAUUUGAGAAUAUAUUGAGAGCAUGUGAUCUUAGACUAACCUUCUGAUGAUAUAAUUCAACUUCUGUAGGCAGUGUGGGAUUAACUUGCUUUAUUCUCAAAACUGAACUUUUCUUUUGCUUGCAAGUAAUCAAAUGGUGUAAAAUGGAAUGUUUCUUCUCAUGUUCAUUCACUAAUUUGGGUGCUUCUGAAUUUGCUAGGCAAUAGCAGCCCUGAAGAAAGGGACACAUUUAUUGAAAUAUGGGAGGCGAGGAAAACCAAAAUUUUGUCUAUUUAGACUUUCAAAUGUAAGUAGCAAUAGCAUCUUCUUCUGGGAAUAAAUAUUGCUAGCCUAUUUUGGCCUAUUACCAAAUCAACUAGAUGAGAUAUUUUUUGUUUGUUUCUGUAGCAUUAAGUUGUAAAUUGUAAUUCUAACCAUUGUACUUAGCAUUUUUCCUCAGACUAAAUCUUUUACAUUUUCCAUGAAAGUUCUAGUUGAUCCAUCUAUCAAUUCUCUGAGGGGACAUCACUAUUAUAUGUAUAAUUUGCAAUUGGCACCUACAUCUUACAUCCUAGGAUAUUUUAAGAAGAAUCUGCAUGUGCGAAAAGAACAAGCACUGUGUCCUAAUGCUUUAUCUCAAAAAACAUUUCAUGCAUAAAUCUUAUCCCUAUGUGUCUAUGGUUUAUCUUUUUUGCAACUGUUCCCAGGAUGAGACUAUGCUCAUCUGGUACUCUGGGAGAAUGGAGAAGCAGCUAAACCUUAUUCAAGUAUCAAAAAUAAUACCUGGACAACGUACGGUAAGUCCUUGCUUGGAUAAUUUUAUGUUUCCUAAUUCUGCAAUUCACCUGACCUGUCUUAGAAGAGUUUUCUGUUUUAAACAUGACCAAAUGGAACUUAGAUUCAUGUUAAUGGCGGGUUUUUUUAAGGUGGCGUUUUUUUCUUUUUGAGAACACACACAAAAGCUAUGUGUAUCUUUUCAUUAAGAUAGACACCAGCCAAGGACAAAAUAAAUGACAAUGAUGCUAAAGGGUUGGAGAAACUCCCUCGUCAUAGUUCAUCUUUGGGACUUGCUAAAACAGGAAAACAAUGAGAACGACCAAAGCCAACCAAGCACAACUGAGUCCCUUCCUCUUUCAUGGACUUGGCAAGCUCUCUCAAUUUGUACUGCCAAUUUUUCGGCCAAACCACAAAAUUACCAUGGCUUCAAACACCCUUCUGCUAGUCUUUAAUAACCUAUUUCUGCCUUUUUUUUAUGGGAAAACUGUAGGGGAGGUCCCAAGAGUACAAUUUUAUUAAGAUGGAAUAUAAAUACAAGGGAUCUGUACAAGAUUAGGGAAUAUACACAAGAGGGGGUCUGUACCAACGUAUCUUGGGUUGGUAGCCACGAUGUCUCUUGGUUCGAAGAUUAACGUCAGACUCAAAUCUCAACUAAUUCAACCCCCUGUAUGUGAACUUACCAAACCGAAGAUACUUUGGUGCACACAGGUUACAGCUGAUGAUAACAGAGGCAUACUCGAACUAAUAAAGUACUCUUAAUGAUUUAAUUGGAAUCGAGCAAAUGGGUAGCAAUUGCCUUAUGGCAAAGAUUUACACAAAAGGUUCCCAUGUAGAAGUAGAAAGUUAAUAAGCUCCGGUAGUGGCUACUCCAUUAGCUACACAGGCUUCUUACUGGGCCUGCAAAUCUAGCGUUCUUCAACGAAUUCCUCCUAGAAGAGGCUUUAGGACUCCCCAACUUCUGUUGAUGAUUGUUUAUAGCAAGGUUAAGUGCAUGAAGUACUUAGCAAGGAAUGCAAUUAGAAAGUAUUCAUGAUGCGAUGGUAUCAAGAAUAGGCUUGGGGUUUGUUUGCAUACAGUGAACAAGUAUUUGACAAACAUCAUAAAGAAGCAGGGGAAUAACGUGAGUUAACCCAAAUAUAAAAAGGAACAGAGGAAGUUUUAUUUUUCUUCCUUUUUUCCCUAGGUCGCAUUGUCUGGGUCACAUGUAAAAAAAACUAGGCCACUUGCCAACUCUGUUCAAUUAUUUUCUAGAUAACCAAGACAUACAUGGCAAGAUGACUAAUACUCAUGUUUGCUGUGCCAUCUUCAUUGCCAGGCUAUCUUCCUGCGAUAUCCAAGACCUGAUAAAGAGUAUCAGUCGUUCUCCCUCAUAUAUGGCCAGAGAUCAUUGGAUCUGGUGUGUGAAAUUCAUAUCUUACUUGCAGUCAUGCUUAAAUUUGUAACCCGUUAUUUACUUACAUGCUGAUCAAAGACAAGUAUUGGAAAUAUAUGCUGUUACUUUGAACCUGUGGUUAGUUUAAUAAACCUCAGUACGGCAAUUUGUGUCAGAUCUGCAAAGAUAAGGAUGAGGCAGAAGCCUGGUUUGUUGGUUUAAAGGCACUUAUUUCCGGAAGAAGCUGUAAGUGGCCAAGAGAAACAAAAAAUGAUAAAGCUUCUUAUAGGCCAAUUAACCAUUCGCGUGGAGAUUCACCAUUUGCAUCUCGUGUUAUAAUACUGAUGUUGAAAGUAAGGUAAGUAAGCAGUGAUUUCGCUCUGUACAUUCAUUAGUUUCUAUCUGUGUAUAUUAUAGCAUGCUUGCUAUCUUUGUAGGCAUCAGAAAGCAUACAACGAUUUGGCACAAAUCAGGAUGCUCGUGCAUUUGCUAACUUUGGAAAUAUAUUUUCUGAUGUGAUAUUAUACUCUGGGCAGGAGAGCAGUAGAGUUAGUAGUACAGGUUCAGUUAGUACUUCCAACUCCAUUUUAUCCGGAAGUGCAGAUACCUCAAAUGGGGGAUUACCUGGAGUUGCUAAUAAUGUCACAGUUAGCCAUUCAAGUGCAGUAAGUUCAUGCAGCUAUGGAUCAAGUGAUGAUUUUGAUUCAUUGGGUGAUGUUCUCAUUUGGGGCAAAGGAGUAGGUGAUGGCACACUUGCUCAUUCUUCGGAUUUAUCUGGAAAAUCAUACUCUUGUAGCAUUGAUGCAUCUAUACCGAAGGCACUGGAAUCGACAAUUCUGCUGGAUAUUCACGGUAUAGCUUGUGGGAGUAAGCAUUCAGUUCUGGUUACUAAACAAGGAGAAAUGUACAGUUGGGGUGAAGAGUCAGGUGGUAGGCUCGGACAUGGAGUUGAUACUGAUGUUAUCCACCCUAAGGUUAUUAGUACCUUGAGUGCCAUUAGUAUUGAAUCAGUUGCAUGCGGGGAAUUUCAUACUUGUGCUGUUUCUUUUUGUGGGGAUCUGUACACAUGGGGUGAUGGGAUGCACAAUUUUGGUCUUCUUGGUCAUGGGAAUGAUACCGCUCAUUGGAUUCCAAAGAAGGUAUGUGGCCUAUUGGAAGGACUGCACAUCUCAUCAGUAUCAUGUGGACCUUGGCAUACAGCUGUUGUGAGUUCAGCAGGCCAAUUGUUCACUUUUGGUGAUGGGGUAUUUGGUGCAUUGGGCCAUGGAGAUCGCCGAAGCACAACUGUUGCAAGGGAAGUGGACUCUCUAAGAGGCAUGCAUACCAUACGUGCAGCUUGUGGUGCUUGGCAUACAGUUGCCAUAGUUGAGGUUGUAGAUUCUCCCAGUUUCGGUACAUCUUCUAAACUAUUCACAUGGGGAGAUGGGAAUAAAGGUCAACUUGGACAUGCUGACAGAGAAACAAGGCUCAUCCCAACCAAUGUGGGAUCACUUUCCAAUCCCAGAUUUUGCCAGGUAGCUUGUGGGUAUGACAUUACCGUUGCUUUAUCAACUUCUGGGGAAGUUUACACAAUGGGCAGUAAUGCUUUUGGACAACUUGGAAAUCCAAUAACCAAUGGGAAACUCCACACUCUUGUUGAAGGGAGCAUCUCCAGUAGUUCUGUUGAAGAAAUAGCCUGUGGUUCUCAUCAUGUUGCUGUUCUAACUUCUAAAGCUGAAGUUUAUACUUGGGGCAAGGGUGCAAAUGGUCGUUUAGGGCAUGGCAAUAAUUUUGAUAGGAAUACCCCAACUCUUGUUGAAGCUUUGAAAGAUAAGCAAGUCAAGAGUGUGGUAUGUGGUAUAGAUUUCACUGUUGUUGUAUGUCUCCACAAGUGCACAUCUGGUUUAGAUCAGUCAAUAUGCUCGGGCUGUCAUUUACAAUUUGGUUUUAGAAGAAUGAGACAUAAGAUAUAACUGUGGCUUUAGUAUAUUGCAAAUAAUGCAGUAAUAGAAAAUCAAUGAAAGCUUCUUUGGCUCCAAAUUCGCAAAAUCCAUAUCUGGUAUGUGAUGAGUGCUACGCCAAACUUAAUACUGCAUGGGAGAGUAAAAAUCUGCAGAGCUCAAAGAAUCUCAAUGGAAAUCCACAUCAAUUGUCCAGUGAAGCAACUGAGAGAGAAAACACAGUAAAGAAUUUGCGAGUGCGACUAUCUAGGCUUUUGACUGUGGAAUCAUUCAAGCCUGAAGGUAAACACUCACGGAGUAACAGUCGGUUUCCUCUUCAUCAUUCUGGAAACUUAAGCCUGAGUGGUAUAAACUUUGUUGGCAAUUCCAAGGAAUUGAUUUCUUCUUUCAAUCCUACCUCAAUGACGUCGCCUUUGUCCUCUGGACCAAAUUCACCACAUCUUACAAAUAGAUUAGCUACAUCUGGCUUAACAUCGCCAAACUCUGCCUGUACAUACGAGUCAAAUAAGAAUCUGCCAGUAACCGAUGUUUCUUAUUUCCAGAAUGCAGUCUCGUGUUUUGUAGAACCUGUGUUAUGAGUUUCUUUCAGUGGAAGCUGGGAGCGAUGAGCUAGCUCCUAUGUUCGGAAAAAAGAAAAACAUUCAUGAGAUCCUCAUUUCUUCUAAAGAUUGAUUUUGUCGUAUGAUGUUGGUUCUUUAAGCAGCAUAAAUGAUCAUUCAGAAAAUUAGAAUUAGACUUCCCAAUCCUUUGCUUUAGAUUUAGGGCCCGUUCGGCAACCCUCCACUCCACAAAAUCUAUGAACUCCGCUCCCAAUUCUCAAAUCCGCGCUCCACAGAUGGAAUGAGGGCGGCUGCUGCAGAGGGGCCACGGCGGCAGAGGGGAAGAUGGCUUCAGGAGCCAGAUUCGGGCCAGAUUGCAGAGUGGCGGCUGCAGGUUCCGGCCAGGACAGACUGCAGAUAACGGAGGUGAGACAGGACUGAUUCCGGCCGGGACGGCUGCCGACGGGCAGGAGGUGUGAGCACAGGGCAAGGGUCCCCACGGUCGCGCUCGCACACGCCCGCUCGCUGCUUCCAGCAGAGGUUCGAAUCUCGCUGAAAGGGGACGGAAAGGAGGAGAAUGUAAUAACCCAAAAUAUUAUGACGUGAGUUAAAGACCUUGGUGGUCACAAUGUCAUAUCAUCUCAUGCAGAUCUUGCAUUAGUUGCACAAGCAAGCAUCUCCAAUUCUACAACUUGAGAAAAACGCUGAAUUUGAACUUCUUUCAACCUUGCACAAAAAAAAUAUUUUUAAAACCUACUUUUAUAUUUUACUGGGGUCUCUGAUAGUAUACAUGAGUCCCUUAAAAAGUUUCAUAAUUUUCUGAACCUGUUUGGUACUUUAAUUGAGUGUUUUUCCUUUAUUUUCAUGAAUGGACAGAACUGAAAAUUAUUCAUGAUCUGAAGCUAACUUUAUCAAAACCUUGUGAAAACUUAUAUCAGGGUCUUAUAUACCCAUAUUUACCCCCACAUAAAUUUUCAUAAAAUUACGACUUGUAUUUCAACUACCUACAGUUCAAACCUAUAUUUGGACCAUAUUCAAAUUUGACUUUCAAAAACAUUCAAAAACAUUUUAUAAAGAUCUGAGAAAAUUCAAAGUGGUUAGUAUUGGCCUGUAUAUGGUCUGUGAAGUUUUGUAGAUUUUUCGGACACAGUUUAGAUCCCCAAACAGACCAAAUAGAGGUUCAGCUAGAACAAAAGGCUUUUUCUCUUUGUCUCCCUGACGAGAGGGGCCCAACUGCCAGACCUUUCUUCUCCACGAAGCAGACCACGCGUCGAGCAGGUUCUGUGCACUGCGAGUGACACCCUUCUCCGUUUCUUCCUCUGUUUGGCUCAGCCGUCUUCGCAGAAGACGUGGGCGACAUGCAGUAGUGCUACGCGUCCAAAACCGGUGCUACACGUGUCCUCCUCCUUACGAACCGACCUUCGAAAUCCUCCGUCUGGCUUCCUUAUAUUGACCCAGACGAUCUCCCUUCUCCCCUUUUCUCCGUUCUGCGUCUACAGAAGAGCUUUCUUAGACAGGCCCUCACUCUCUGUCAAAUCUGAGAAGGUUUCCUCGAGUAGUUCGCCGGGAACGCGGGCGACGUCCAAGCGUUCGCGGCCGCGCCCGUCGCGGCUCCGGCGGCCUCUUUCUUCUUCCCCUGUGAGUUUCAGUCCGCAAUACCUUGUCCAUAGAGUUCGAAUCGUGGUCCCGAGUUCAGGCCUCUGUUCCCCGUUCUAUUUGGCGCAGAUUCGUGAAGCCGAGGUCGUCAUCUUCCCCAACCCCGACAAGAACUCCGGCGAGCCUCCAUUCCACCGAUUCCGGACACCAUUGCUCCAGCUGACCAAUGCAAGAGUUUCAGGGUGAGCUUCUGAGGCAUAGACUCUCCUUUUCCCUCUCUCUCUCCCGCGCUGUAGAUUCCCCACCGCGUCGGCCUGUCCCGGCUGUCGCCGGCGAGCAGCGCGACACCUGCUGUGGCACCCAUGGUGUCCACUCCGUGCACCAAUGGUCUCGACGCACUGCUGCGGUGCUAACCCCCCCUAGUUCCCAGGGCUCCGGCUCCCGGAACCGCCGUUCCGGCGAGACCUCGCUGUAGUCCAGCCGCACGGGCUCUCGUUCAGCCAUCCACUGCACUGCACAGAGUGUUCAGUUUAAUCAGAGAAUUCCAUAAAUUAGUUUAGAACUGCUAAAACUUGCAAAAAUCGUAGGGAAGUCAUCGUAACUCCAAAUUGAAUGAAAUUUUUAUGGAAAUGUAGGUUUUUGAGUGUGUGAUUUUAUGAAAUUAUUCUCAUUAGCAUAUCUGUCCAGUAAAUGAUCGAAUUAUUGCCAUGGCUAAAUGCGACUAAAAUUUGACAUGCAACACUUAAAAAUUCACAUCUUGCAUUCUAGGACUCCAAAUGAAUUGAUUCCAGUUGACUUAGUUUUGUAUUUCAAUGCCUCACAUUCCAGAAUGCAUUUCAUAUCAUGGCAUCAUGUUUGAGUUCCUGGUUAUUGAUUUUUCUCUUUCAUUGUUGUUUUCAGGUUUUUCUUGCCUCUUAUCGGUAGAAUCCGGCAACGAGGGUUAUUCGGAAGGUGAUAAGCAGCAGUACCAGGAGCUUGAACAGCAAGGCAAGCAUCAGCUUGUUGAAUCUUUGAUCCCUCAUUUAAUUAUGUUAUUCUUACUUGCUUUCGAUUAUUGCUAUCGUUAUGUCCAUCAUGUCGAUAUCUCAUAAUUUCAUUCUCGCAAAUGAUAUGUUGGGAUUACUAGCAUGUGUAGGAGUUGCUUGCUGUUCAUGACCAGAAGGUUAUGACAUUAAUUUUGACUAAUGAACUAUGGAACCUAAUAAGUGAGAUGUGAGAGCCGAUACCAACAGAUGGUCGCAGGGUGAGGCUAUAUCCCCGUCGAUACCGGUGUCGUUGGAUCUUUCCCUUCACCCCACGGGGAGUGUUACGAAGGCAUGGGAGACAUGGUCGGGCCCGAUCCUCUGAGCUUCCCACCCAACGUAACAUUUCCGUUCGAAUUGGGUGGUUAGCCCAAUCCUGACAAGUGAUAACAUGAACCUUCAGGUGUGGUGACCUAAGGUUGAAUGGAAAUAUCAAGUGGGAAGCUUGAUUUAAAGUGGUUUCAUGUGAUUGUUUUCACUAGUGUGACAUCUUGGUAUAUGUUACCAUGUUGAUGACAUGAUCUUUGUUAAUUGAGAUACACAUGAGUAAGUCUUGCGAGUACGAAAGUACUCAUUGGGAAUUCCAUUCCUCAUAUUGAUGCAGGUGAGCCUAGCAUAGGCGAGUUCUUCGAUGUUAAGCGUGACGUCUAGUUUGCUGGGUUCCUUUGGUCAGCUUGCCCUGCGAGUUAUGUGGCUUUUGUGAUAUGGCGGUGGUAACCAUCUCAAGGGUUUUACUUAUGUUUCCGCUGCUGUUGGUGUUGGCUUUUAGGCCACUGGAUGUAUCUACUAUCUAGCUUCUCUUGUAUGAGAUGUGAACUAUGUAUUUGUAACUCCCUUUUGUAGUGUUCGUGUUGUGAUACCAUAUUUGUUUAAGCACGUCAUGCACAAUGUGUGUAUGAUCCUGGAGUGCAUGACGUGUGUUUGAGUAUUUGGAUUUCUCUUGUAUGUGCAAGAAAGGGUGUUGAGCAAAGUCGGAACUGCUAGUUAUCGCCUCCACUUGUGGUAUUCUUAUACCGGGUGUAUGGUCGGGUCCCAGGGCAGUGGCUUGUUCAAAGACUCAUCUUGUACCUACAAUAGAAGGUCAUUCCCUCGAACAAAAGGACAUGGGACUUAUUUCAACUCUUGGGAGAUUGCAACCCCUUACUUUGGUCUACUUCAACUGUGAGUCGUAGUUGCGUAUGUAGAGUUGGGUAAGUGAAAGUCACGAACCGUUACGGGUUUGGCUUGGGCUUAACGACCGUUGUGAGCACAUACAAGCGGCGUAUCGUAUGGUUAACGGUGUAGGUCACCGAACUCGGUUCAUUGCAUCUCCUUACUUGUUGGUUCAAGUUCCAGGUUGUUGGUUUAAGUUCCAGGCCCUGACAGAGGACUGGCCGGAUGGGGUUGGAAGGGAUUAGUUGUUGGUUUAAGUUCCAGGCCCUGACAGAGAAGGACUGGCCGGAUGAGGUUGGAAGGGAACUGGCUGGCUGGAGAUGGAGGAGAUCUGACCGGAGAUAGUGAGGCGGCGUUGUGGCCGGUGAUGGGGAUGGAGGUGCGCGGUGGGAUAGAAAAAGAUCAAUAAAAAGGUUCAACCCACAUAAUGGCAUUCCCGGGUCAAUAAACGAAACUCCGCGUUUAGUCGUUUGGCGGAGCAUCGAUUUUCCUUCUCCGCAUUUUUGUACUAGGCGUCCAUCCGCUCCGCGGAAUUAAACCGUUCGGCGCAGCUCCGCCCGAUCCGCACGCGGAGUUCGGAGCCGAAGGCCUGCCGAACAGGCUCUUAAUAUAUGCAUUGCUCUAUCUUUACCUUGAAACAAAAAUAUGUCCUGCUUUUAUUAUUAUUCAGUGACCUGGCCUGAUUUAUUCGCGUAGGUGGAUGAGCUCACACAUAAGUCUGAAUCACUUGAAGCUGAACUUGACAAAACAAACAAUCAGUUAAAAGAGGCCAGAACUACUGCUGAUGUGGAGAAUUUGAAGUGCAAAGCAGCAAAAGAAGUUAUCAGCUCCCUUACUACUCAGGUAGGUUUCUAUUUCUUACACUGGCAAUUCUCAAAAUAAUAGGGAUCAAUUUGCCGACCUUUAUAUGGGAACUAUUGUAGCUGGGAAUAUGAAAGGUAGAGUGCAAACAUGUUAGUUGUAUAGUAAUAGGACAGGACAAACUUUAAAGCUCCUUAUCCCAUUGGGCCAAUUGCACCAUUCUCUUGAUAGAUCAUACAUUUGAUCUGAAACGCAUUAUCACUUGAAGUCUUUUAUCAGCUUGUACAAAUUUGCAUCAGGUUUUAUGCCUGCAACAUGAAAUGCUGACCUACUGAAUAUAAAAUUGGGAGCCAGAAAAGAUAAACCUCAUCAUGGAUACAGUUUUGUUUUCAUGUUUAUGAAUGGCAAGUCCUAGCUCGUGUAAUAUGACGAGAAGUGGAAACAGAGGGUAUGACUAAGCUUUGCCCUACGAAUCGAUGCAGAUAAUAUUAACUUCAGCAAAUUUUAUGUCACUAUUGCAAGUUACGCAAUGAUAUCAUGGUUACUUUGACUUAAAAUUAUUUUCUGUUGUCAGAUGAAAAGUAUAACCGAAAGAGCAC